GAAGGAGAGGUUGAAAAUGGCCGAUGUGUCCAUUUCCUUGUUGACCCAAUUUUGUUAACAAUGUAGCUGAACUGGGCCUCUAACUCAAUUUACACUGGGCUUGGGAAUCAAGUUGAGGGAGGUAAUGGUAAAAGUACAAUGGAAGUCCCUUAUUAAGAAUUAGAUUAUAUUUUGUCCUAUUUACUUAAAAAUAAGUAAAUUAGUCCUAUACUUAAAUCAUCAAAGAGUAAACUGGUCUUUAUUUUAUUAAUUUUUCAUUCAUUUUUACUAUUAAAAGUUGAACAUGACUAACAGAAUAAUCAGCACGUGUACCUCAUUCUGAAACCAAUUUUUAAGAGUAAAAUUAGAUUGAAAUUUUAACAGAACAAUGUAGGACUAAACACAGUUAAAUUAAAAUCUUAUUGCAAUAUAAUUAAUUUCAUGUCAAAGCACAUAAAUAUAAAACUAUAUAUUUUAGAUGAUAAACUUAAAUAAUUAAUUAACUUAUUUGUGAAAAUUUAAAAUUUUAACUUUAUUUAUUUAUUCUUUAGAAAUUUUUUUAAAUUUUCCAUAAUUUUUUAAAAUAUAUAAAUUUUGAAAUUUUUUAUAAAUAUUUUAAAUUUUUAAAAAUUAUUUUAAAUUUUUUUAAUAACUUUUGUUAAGGGAAAUAUUGGAACCCACUCAUUGUUUGAAAAGUCAAAAAGGGUGGGCACCGAAAGUAGAAAGUAAAAUUGGUUGGCAAGUUGGGUUAAAAGUUGGCAUGGGAUAAUUGCAAUUUUGGUCCCUAAUUGUAUAGGGACAUUGCAAGUUGAUUCUUGAACCUCAACUAUAAAUAGGCCUAACCAUUUCUUACUUUCUUCAUCCCAUAAUUGACAUUCUCUACUUAAGGCAUUAUUCUCUCUCUCUAUUUGUAAAUUUCACUCGUAAUUUUUGGAGUGAAAUAUAUUUGGUAGUGCCCGAGGACGUAGGCAAAAUUUGCUGAACCUCGUUAAAAUUCUGGUGUUCUUUAUUAUUUGUUUUGCAUAUUUUGUGAAUGUGAUUGUAGUGAUUUAUUGUGCUAUUAAAUUACGAUAGAGAGAUAUUCUGGCUAGGAAAGACUUGGUAUUUAAGUGAUCUUCGUGAUCUACCUCUCUUUCCUGGGAAUUGAACUUAGUGUGAUUUUUCAGUACAAUAAUUUUACUCUUUCACACGCUUCCGCGCAACAAUUGGUAUCAGAGCCAGGUUCGUACUUGGGGAAUACGACCGUUUACGGUACUAUUCACAUAUACGGCACUAUUCACAUAUAUAGUACUAUUUACGUAUACGGCACUAUUCACGUAUACGGUACUGUUCACGUAUACAGUAGUUGGGAUUGAGGAGAAAAAUGGCAGCAGCAUCGUCAUCAGCAAGGACUACUGUGACAAAUGCAAAAUUUGAAGUAGAGAAAUUUGACGGUACCAAUAAUUUUGGUAUGUGGCAAUGUGAGAUCCUGGAUGUCUUAUGUCAGCAAGAGCUAGAUAUAGCCCUUGAAGAAAAACCUGACAAGAUGGAUGACAAGGAGUGGGCCAAGAUCAAUAGACAGGCAUGUGGUACAAUCCGCCUAUGUUUGGCCAAAGAGCAGAAGUACUCUGUCAUGAGGGAGACAUCAGCGAAGAAGUUAUGGGAUACACUGGAAGAAAAGUUUCUAACAAAAAGUCUUGAAAAUAGGCUUUAUAUGAAAAAGAAACUUUAUCGAUUCACGUAUGCACCCGGUAUGUCGAUGAAUGACCAUGUGAACUCAUUCAAUAAAAUUUUAGCAGACUUGCUAAAUUUGGAUGAGAAAUUUGAAGAUGAAGACAAUGCAUUAUUGUUGUUGAAUUCCCUUCUUGAUGAAUAUGAUCAUCUUACCACCACAUUGCUUCAUGGGAAGGACACGAUCACAUUUGAUGCAGUCUGUAGUGCGUUGUAUAGAUCUGAGACUCGAAAGAAAGAUAAAAGAGAUCACAGAGAUACAACCGCAGAAGUCUUAACAGUAAGAGGUCGUUCACACAGCACCAAAUCUGGUAGAAGGGGAAAGUCCAAAGGGAGACCCGCCAAAGAUGAAUGUGCCUUUUGCCGUGAAAAAGGGCAUUGGAAAAAGAAUUGUCCUAAGCUACAAAAGGGCAAGGCUAUUUCUAAUGCAUGUGUAGCGGAGCAUGAUGAGGAGUCAGACUUUAGCUUGGUUGGCAUGGAAAUGGCAUGUCAAACGGAUGAGUGGAUUUUGGAUUCAGGAUGUACUUACCAUAUGUGUCCUAAUAAGGACUGGUUUUCUAGUCUUAAAGAGCUAGAAGGUGGAAUUGUUCUUAUGGGCAAUGAUAGUGCUUGUAAGACAAUGGGAGUGGGUACAGUCCAAUUGAAGAAUCACGACGGCUCAAUCCAAGUCUUGACAGAUGUUCGCUACGUACCUAGCCUGAAGAAAAAUCUCAUCUCAUUAGGUGCCCUAGAAUCUAAAGGGCUCACAAUCACUUUGAGAGAUGGAUUACUAAAAGUAGUAGCUGGGCAACUGACGGUGAUGAAAGGCACAAGAAGAAAUAACUUGUAUUUUUUAAAUGGAAGUACAGUUAUUGGAUCAACACAGUUUCUACAAAAGAUGUAGAUUCAGAGGCUACCAGAUUAUGGCAUAUGCGAUUGGGACAUGCUGGUGAAAAAGCUUUGCAGACAUUGGUGAAGCAAGGCUUAUUGAAAGGUGCAAAUUCUUGCAAAAUGGAAUUCUGUGAACAUUGUGUUCUAGGCAAGCAGAAGAGGGUCAAAUUUGGUCCAGCAAUUCACAAUACGAAAGGAAUUCUGGACUACAUUCACAGUGAUGUGUGGGGGCCUACCAAAGUAGCUUCUUUGGGAGGUAUGCACUAUUUUGUUACUUUUGUUGAUGAUUAUUCAAGAAAAGUAUGGGUGUAUCUAAUGAAAAGAAAAAGUGAAGUUUUGGAUGCAUUUCUGAAAUGGAAGAAGAUGGUGGAGACUCAGACUGGUCGAAAGGUCAAACGACUUCGAUCAGAUAAUGGUACUGAGUACAAAAACGAUCCAUUUCUACAAGUAUGCCAAGAUGAGGGCAUUGUGCGACACUUCACUGUUCGGGAUACACCACAGCAAAAUGGGGUGGCAGAACGAAUGAAUCGAACUAUACUGGAGAAAGUUCGAUGUAUGUUGUCCAAUGCUGGAUUGGGCAAAGAAUUUUGGGCUGAGGCAGUUACAUAUGCGUGCCAUCUAAUUAACCGUUUGCCAUCAGCUGCAAUAAAUGGAAAAACUCCUAUGGAGAUGUGGACUGGUAAAUCUGCUACUGAUUAUGAUUCUUUGCAUGUAUUUGGUUCCACUGCAUAUUAUCAUGUAAAAGAAUCUAAGUUAGACCCAAGAGCAAAGAAAGCAUUAUUCUUGGGUAUAACUGAUGGAGUAAAAGGAUAUCGUCUCUGGUGUCCUGAUACAAGGAAGAUUAUUUUUAGUAGAGAUGUGACUUUUGAUGAAUCAACCAUGUUGAAGUACAAGGAUUCGCAAAAGGAUGACAAAACCGGUAGUACUUUGCAGCAGGUGGAGCUUGAAAAGGUUAACGAUGAUCCAGCUAAUAUUGAAGGGACAAAUGAUGAAGAGGUUCCUACCCAAGAAUCUCUACAGCAACAAGAUUCAAUUGCAUAUAGAAGGCCAAGAAGAGAGAUUCGUAAGCCUGCUCGCUUUGAUGAUAUAGUGGCCUAUGCACUUCCAAUUACAGAUGAUGAUGUUCCUUCUACUUACACAGAAGUAAUAAGUAACCCUGAUGGUGUAAAGUGGAAGCAAGCAAUGAAUGAAGAAAUGCAAUCUCUUCAUAAAAAUAAGACCUGGGAGUUGGUGACACUACCCAAGGGAAAGAAGGCAAUUGGAUGCAAAUGGGUAUAUGCAAAGAAGGAAAGAUUUCCUGAUAAAAAUGAAAUUCGAUACAAGGCUAGAUUAGUAGCAAAGGGUUACGCUCAGAAAGAAGGAAUAGACUACAAUGAAGUGUUUUCUCCAGUUGUGAAGCAUUAGUCUAUUCGGAUUUUGCUAGCCUUGGUUGCGCAAUAUGAUCUUGAACUAGUUCAGCUUGAUGUGAAGACCGCGUUUUUACACGGUGAUUUGGAAGAGGAAAUCUAUAUGACUCAGCCAGAUGGAUUAAAGGUUGCUGGAAAAGAAAAUUGGGUUUGCAAACUGACAAAGUCGCUUUAUGGAUUGAAGCAAUCUCCGAGGCAGUGGUACAAGCGAUUUGAUCAGUUCAUGAAAGGGCAAAGGUACACAAGAAGUAAAUUUGAUCAUUGCGUGUAUUUUCAGAAGCUACAAGAAGGAACUUUCAUAUACUUGCUCUUAUAUGUUGAUGAUAUGCUAAUAGCAUCUAAGAGCAAAGUUGAGAUUGAAAGAUUGAAGACUCAACUCAAUCUCGAGUUUGAGAUGAAAGAUCUAGGAGAAGCUAAAAAGAUUCUCGGCAUGGAAAUAUGGAGAGAUAGAGCUCAUGAUAGAGUUAGCUUGUCUCAGAAGCAGUAUUUGAAAAAGGUACUACAACAGUUUGGCAUGAACGAGCAGACAAAACCUGUAAGUACCCCGUUGGCUUCUUAUUUCAAGCUUUCUGCACAACUAUCUCCUUCGACGAAUACGGAACGAGAAUACAUGUUGCAAGUUCCGUAUUCUAAUGCAGUGGGUAGCUUGAUGUAUGCAAUGGUGUGUACAAGACCCGACAUUUCACAGGCAGUUAGUAUAGUGAGCAGGUAUAUGCAUAAUCCUGGAAAAGGACAUUGGCAAGCUGUGAAAUGGAUUCUAUGGUAUAUUCAGAAGACCGUGGAUGUUGGAUUACUGUUCAAGCAGGAUAAUACACUUGGUAAAGGUGUUAUUGGGUGCGUUGAUUCUGACUAUGCCGGUGGUUUGGACAAGCGAAGAUCAACCACCGGUUAUGUGUUUACACUUGCUGGAGGACCAAUAAGUUGGAAGUCUACACUACAGUCUACAGUUGCAUUGUCAACCACAGAAGCCGAGUACAUGGCUGUAACAGAGGCUGUAAAUGAGGCUAUUUGGUUACAAGGUAUGGCUAAAACCUUGGGGUUGGUUCAGGAGCAUAUUAACGUGUAUUGUGAUAGUCAAAGUGCUAUUCAUUUAGCAAAGAAUCAAGUCUAUCAUGCACGUACAAAACAUAUCAACGUACGAUUCCAUUUUGUGCGGGAAAUUAUUGAAGAGGGGAAAAUUUGUCUUCAGAAGAUCAAGACUGCAGAUAAUCCCGCAGAUAUGAUGACCAAGGUGGUAACAUCAACCAAGUUCGAACAUUGUUUGAACUUGAUUAAUAUCCUGCAAGUUUAACAGUUGAAGAAGGCACUAUCAAGUAUUGUUGUCAAAGGCAGAAAGAAUUGUGUGAAGAUAAGAUUAUCCUAAUCAAAUCUUCAAGGUGGAGAUUAUUGGAACCCACCCAUUGUUUGAAAAGUCAAAAAGGGUGGGCACCGAAAGUAGAAAGUAAAAUUGGUUGGCAAGUUGGGUUAAAAGUUGGCAUGGGAUAAUUGCAAUUUUGGUCCCUAAUUGUAUAGGGACAUUGCAAGUUGAUCCUUGAACCUCAACUAUAAAUAGGCCUAACUAUUUCUUACUUUCUUCAUCCCAUAAUUGUCAUUCUCUACUUAAGGCAUUAUUCUCUCUCUUUAUUUGUAAAUUUCACUUGUAAUUUUUGGAGUGAAAUAUAUUUGGUAGUGCCCGAGGACGUAGGCAAAAUUUGCUGAACCUCGUUAAAAUUUUAUUAUUUGUUUUGCAUAUUUUGUGAAUGUGAUUGUAGUGAUUUAUUGUGCUAUUAAAUUACGAUAGAGGGAUAUUCUGGCUAGGAAAGACUUGGUAUUUAAGUGAUCUUCGUGAUCUACCUCUCUUUCCUGGGAAUUGAACUUAGUGUGAUUUUUCAGUACAAUAAUUUUACUCUUUCACACGCUUCCGUGCAACAGGAAAGAUUAAUGUACUCAUUUUUUAAAUUAACAUAGACCAAAUAGAUAUAUAUACUAAUCUAUUAUUCAAAAUAGACUCAAAUUCGACUUAUUAAAAUUAACUCAUUUUUCGAAUUUUUGAAUUGAAUUUUACUCAACUCUAUUUGUAUCUCUUACAAAAAAAGUAUACGAUAUGAUAUGUUUUACUAUUUACAUAUCUCUCUGUUGGCAAUGGCAUCAAUGGAAGGUUGGUAACAAUCUCAUGUUUGAAGGUUCGUCUUCGAGCUUCGAUGGUGAGAUCUUCUCAAUAGCAAAUGCCAUUAAAUUGAACCGCGAUGCUUCCUUCAACCCUAUCUUUGGUAUCGGCGUUGUUUAGCCAGAAUCAUAUCGAAAUUCUUAUGUUUGAUGUAAUAAUCUAAUAAUAAUGAACUAAAGUUGCAAAAAAAGGAGCUUAUCAUAUCAUAUGCCUGCUAAUUUAUAAUUAAUUACAAUUUGUCUCUAUGAGAUGCAUCUCAUGGAGUAGAUAGAAGCAGAAGGUGAAUCAACCGCGACUGCCGGUGCGGCGUACACCCUAGGGUGAGGAUCAUCACUAUCCCAACCGUACUCCAUCAUCAUCGGACGGUACUCCAUAUCUUCAUCGUGAUCAUACACGAAAUCAGGGACCUCAAUCUCGUUUCUCCUUAUGUGCUCCCACAGGUAAUCCACCCUGCUAAGGUAUCUCAAUUUCCCGUACAACCUAACCAUUAUAGCAUUCCAUGGUUAAAAAAUCGUAUCCGUAAUACUUAACAAUUGGAUUAAAGACUAAAUCCUAAAUUUCAACAUAGUCAGAAGGACUAAAUCCAGAAUUUGACCAUUGGAUUAUUAUGUUAAUAUUACCCGUCACCAAAGAAAAGGCGGCCGAAAGUGGCAAGGAAGAGCCGAGACUGGAGGCCAGGGUGCAGAAAAUAAACGGAUUGGAGAUUAUCUUUGACGGUGACCGGAAUAGCAUCAUAGAUUGAUCGGAGGGCUGAGAUUCCCGGAAAGUUGUCGGUCCUUUGAACUCCGGUAUGCAUGUACAACACCGAAAACGGCUUCUUUGAAAGCCUUGGAAAUAUAUACUCAUCUAAAUACUCUUUCAAAACAUCAACGCUCAAAAACCGAGCUGAUAAAAAAAAAGAGUAAUCAGAAUCAGAAACCUAAUUGAAAUCGAAUUACAAUAAAAGAUGAUAAAAACAUUACCGGGGAAGGACUUUCCGGUAAUGCGAAGAAUCUUGUGGCCGCGUUUAUCUUUGCCUUGGAUCUUGAAAAUGUCGAGUUUGUGAAGGAGAUGGGACUCUGAAAUUUGAGAUGCCAUUGUUAUUCUGUGUAAGCAGUAAAUUUGAAUUAUUAAAGGAUAAAGAUUGAAAUUAUAUUUAUAGAGGAAACUUUGGAUGGGGUUUCAAGGGAUAAAGUCAAUUGUCAUUUUAUGUUUGAAUAAUAAGGGGAAUAUUCUAAAGCAUCUUCCAUUGUGGAGCCAAGGUCGUGAGCUUGACUGGGUCCCUUCUUUUGAAGACUUUUUCGGCUUAAAUUAUGGUUUUAGUCCUUCUAGUAUGCUAAAGUUUUUUAUUUAUUUUUGUAUUUUAGUUUCACAUAAUUUAAUCCCUCAAGUGUUUUUUAAUUCCAUUAAUUAAUGAAAUGAUUAAUGUAUCUAUACAAAAAGUUCAUAUGUGCAUAAUGAGUUCAAAGGGAUUUUUUUCAACAGGUUUAAUUGUGAACUACAUCCCACUACUUUAUAAAAAUUGAAAAUUUAAUCUCUUUAUUUUAAUUUUUUUAUGAAAACUAAGAAAUUAAUUUAAUUAUAAAUGAGCCGUUAAUUUUUGUUAAUUUAUUGUAUAUAAAUUGUUGAACUAUUAAAAUUUACUAAUUCCUUGUGUAUAAAUUGCUUAAUUUUUAAUGUUCCAGUCAGUGAUUUAACAACAAAGUUUAAUAAUAUUACACAAUUAGACCAAAUUUUCAAUUUUUAUAAAAAAUACGAAUCAAAUUCUGACAUUUUAAAAUGAAAUGAUUAACUUCUCAAAUUUCUUUCAUAAAAGAUGAAAUUCAUAAUUAAACUUUUUAAGAAACAAUCCACAUCAAACUAAGUAAUUUCAUUAUAAUAGUAAAAGAUCAAAAUAUGGAUUAAAUCUCGAAUUUAAACAUAAUAGAAGGACUAAAACCACAAUUUGACAUUUUUCCUUCCUUAAUUUAUCAUGAAAAAGGUUGAGAAACUUGAUUUUAAAUUUAAAGUAGAAGAUUAAGGAUUGAAACAAAAUCAAACAUCAAUGUAAUAUAUUGGCUAUUUUACCAAUUUAACCCAAAAAAAUUGAUAUUUACAAAAGUAACUCUAAUUCAAAAACAUUCACCAAAAUAACCUAAAAUGAAUAGUAAAAUUGGGUUAUCGAAAAUUGGCCGGCACCACUUUUUUUAUUAAAAAAUAAUUUUUGGGGUUUUAGACAUUAAAUGGCCGGCAACAUGUAUUUUUUUAAAAAAAAAUUUGGGUGCUGGCACACUGAUGGCCGACACCCCUUUAUUUGAUUAAAAAAAUAUUUUUUGGGGGGAAAGUGGUGCCCCCAACAAAAGGCCAAAAUCACCCAACAAAAAAAAUUAGGAAUAUUGCAACAUAACCUCUCCUUGUUUUCCCAUCUUUUUUAUUUCCCAAGUUUAAUUACAUAUUUUAUACUUUAAAACAAUAUUGAACUACUUAUCAAGAUUUUUUUUUAAUUUUUGUUUUUAAGAUUAAACUAUACUUUAAUGGUUUUCAUCUUUUAUAAUAAUUCAAAUAAAAAUUGUUAAAUUAUUGUUUUUUAUUUUAAAAAAUAAUGAGCAAUAUAUUUUAUAAAAUAUGUAGUUCAAUAUAUUUUAAAUUAGUUUUUAAAUUUAAUAACAAUGUGAGUGAUGCAAUAAUAAUUAAAAAACAUGAUAAGUAAUUCAAUAUUGUUUUAAAAUAUAAAAUAUGUAAUUAAACUUGAGAAAUAAAAAAGAUGGAAAACAAUGAGGGGUUAUGUUGCAAUAUUCCCAAUUUUUUUUGUUGGGUGAUUUUGACUUUUUGUUCGUGGGCAACUCUUUCCCAAAAAAAUAUUUUUUUAAUCAGAUAAAAAGGUGCCGACUAUCUAGUGUCUAAAACCUCAAAAAUUAUAUUUUUAAUAAAAAAAUGGUGCUAGCCAUCUAUUUUCCAUAACCCAAUUUUAAUGUUUAUUUCAGGUCAUUUUGGUGAAUGUUUUUGAAUCAAGGUUAUUUUUGUAAAUAUCAAAUUUUUUUGGGUUAGAUUAGUAAAAUAGCCUAAUAUAUUGCUGCAAAUAAUAAUAAUAAUAAUUUAUUCAUCACUCACCAAAACAAAACUCCAUUCUAGUUGAUCUAAUACUACAUUGUAACAUGCAAUAGUACAUUUAAAAGAGUUGGUCGUCUUGUCUUUGUCAAAUAAAAAAGCCAGUUUCAUUGAUCUUUUACUAGGAUUUUUUUUCUUAUCCUUUCUAAAACCACCUAGGUCCCAUAACCAAAUUGAAGAAAAUGGAUUAAACAACAUUCAAAACAUCUCAUAUCAAACUGUUGGGACCUUGUGGGGGACCAUGUGGUCCAUGUCCUAGAAAUUAGUUCACAAUAACACCAAGAAGAAAAUUUGGCAUUUUAGCCAUUCAUGGCAAGCAAAUAAGUAACAUUUUAAUAAUCAUAAUUAAGGUAACAGCUCCUCUCAAAGUACACCAAAGGUUUCAUACAUGGAUUAUAUAAGAGGGGAUUGAAAUAUCUACCAUUUUCAUACCUUUGUGCUUCCUACAUUUGUUAUAUAGAUCGAAUCCUACAUGCGCGUGACCGAGAGAAACAGACUUUCCAACUUUUGAAAUCUAAGCCAGGGCAAGCAAAUCUUCUGUAAGCUGUACAAAUGCCAGUGUAGAUUAUAGUCUACUUAUUCAUUGAAUUGGAACCCGGAUACCUCGGCAAGUUUUUCCAAUUCCAUCUCUCCACUCAAAACCUGGAAAAUGGUAUAGUCAUAGAUGGUUAUAUGAGAAUAUAGACUAUUCUGAUACGACAUUUAAGCAAAAGAUACCUGUAUUAUGAACAUAUAUGGUCUAAAGAUGAGGAGAAUUACGAAAGGGAAAGGCUUCCUCACCUGACCAUUAAUAACCCAAGUUGGGAAUCCUUCUAAAUUUGCAUCUGCACAUGCCUUGAUCAUUUUUGUUCCCGUCUUAUAUCCAUCAGGAAAGCAUUCAAUGUAGUCCAACAACUUUGCUGCCUCACGUCCAAACAUCUGUUUGCAUUGGUAAGAGAAAUCAAUACCGAUGAACGUCAUACUUACAAAAGAAUCAAAGGCACAAGUAUUCCCAUAAAAUAAGUAAAGGGAAACAGAUGAUCAGUGCAAAAAGUAGGUGAUUAUAUAUAUAUAUAUUUAGCACGGCUAUUCUUAGAGAAAGAAAGCAUUAGACUCAUCUUCCUAAUCAAAUCUAAUAUGAGAAGCCAAGUAUCAUGGCGAAACCAAUAUUAGGCGGUACCUAGCAAUUCUUAUAAGUUCUAGAUGCUCGAAAGAGUAAUGUUAUUCCUAUGGGGAUUGCUGAACAUAUCCAGCUCUUGACUGACAUACCAAAUAAUUUGGUGUUAGUAUGAAAAUGGACAAGGAUUCCAAAGAUACUCAUUGACUUCACAUUACUUAAUUCAUUUAAAGAGACCACUUUCUUUUUGGAAGUCAAAACACAACAUCACUGAAACCGAGCAUUUGUUACAACUGCAACACCUAUGGUCCCUUUUCUCUUUUGACCAAAUCCUUAGUGAAUUCUUAGAAAUUAGAAAUGACAAUAAUAAUCAAUGAGUGUAUCUUAAAGUGCAUUGUUAGAACUUUUAUUUUGGAAGUCACAACACAACAACAUCACUGAAACCUGGCAUUUGUUACAAAUGCAAAUCCACUGGUCCCUUUUUUGGCCAAAUCCUUAGUGAAUUCUUAGAGCUUUGACGAGAAAAUAAUAAUCGGUGAACGUAUCUCAAAGUGCAUUAUUUCUUGACAAUUAGCAAAACCCUGUAUUAAUCAGAGAAUUCGAAGGGUACCUUACAGUUAAGUUAGAACUGCUAAGAGAGAACUAAAAGCAAAAAAGGCACCUCUUUUUGUUCUAGACAGUGAGAACACCAAAAAGCCCCAUACAUCUUAGCUCCUAUAGAAUGUAGAUGCCUUGCAAGAGAAAGCGCAAAAGGACUUGAUUCCUUUGUUAUCUCAGUUGUAAAAUAUGGAAGAUCAAUAUUAGCUUGGCUGUGAAGGCAAAGAUAAAAUGGAGAAAUAAGUAUAGCAGCCAUAUCUAUAGAGAGAGAAUUGAAGAUAAAAGACAGCUGAAAAAAAGAUAUUCAUCCAAAUAACAAAAGAGAUGCUAUAAGCAAUGUACAUCCACUCACCUUGAAGGAGCAGAUGGUAAAUUGCUGUAUGAUGUACUUAAUGUGGCAAAUACCAAGCUUGCUAUGCAUACUUGUAAACCCACCACUUUCUGUACCUCCUGUAACCCAACAUCCUACAAUAGAAUGGAAAAUCCAAGUAUACCGGGUCAUAAGCAUAAAUCCGGAAAAAGCUAUAUCAUCUAACAAAUUGAUACUGACCUUUAGGCUAAUGAAAAAUAAAUUAAUCGAUAAUAAAGCCGACACUAGACAGUAGGAGCAAGAAGUUCCAGCAAAUUUUGUACUCAGUAUGUACAAAAAGUAUGCACUGGCAGUAGCCAUGGAGGUAGUGCUCCCAAGCAAUAGCAAGCGACCCGUCGUUUCGUUGAUCCCAAAAGGUAAGUUCUUCGCGCUCAACUGCAAGCUGAGUGUCGUAACAAAUCCAUAAGCAAUCAGUCCAAGUAAUGGAAGAGAAACACCUGAUAAAUGCAUAAGCACAAAAAAUUAUUAUUACGAUUAUUAUCCACUUUCAAACAUGCUACCUCAGAAAACAUUUUUGGGGUUUCCACAAUCAAAUUGAAAAUUUAUGCCUAGGCUAAGAUUAUGAAAUUAAAGCAUGUAGUAACACAAUUGAAAAUUACGAAUACAGGUUCGUUUCCACAUUCAAGCCAACAACUUUAUAUAUAGAUAAAUAAAUAAAUCUUCAAAAAAAGAAGAAAUUAAAUACCAAAAAUGAAGGCGUAAUCACUGUUGAGGACAUCACCACAACUACCACCACCAAGAGGGCAAAAGGCAUCGGAACCGGAGAGCUUGAGGUAAGUCAAGUAAGCAGUUUCAAUAAUCCCAACGGCACCAAUCCCAGCACGCCAAUUAUACGUGGAAUUGCUCGAAGCCAAUGAACUAGAAAAAGAAGAAGAAGAUGGAACUGACGUCGUUUCAGCUUCUGACUCAGUAUCUUGACUCGGCCCUGAAGAUGAACACUUAAUAGGAAGCACAAGCAAUCUCCGAACCGGCGCUUGCUUCUUCAAAAACACCAAAAAAAAAACCCAGAAUUAGUAAUGAUUAGAAUCAAACAAGGAAAGAGAGAAAGAGAGCAAUGGGGGAAAAGAAAUGUACUUUUAAAUGAACGGAAGAUGAAAUGAAGGCAGGAGAAGAGAUAGGGAGAGAGCAGCGAUACAAGAAUUGACUUUGAGAAGCUGAUAAACCAAUGAAACUGGCCAUUUUCUUUAAUACCCAGAUUGUACAAAGAAGUAACAAGCUCAAUUCAAGAGUCCAUUUCUUAAAAGAAUAAAAAAUCUGAGUCAAGUUCGGAGAUAUCAGCCACACUCGUGUAAGUCGUGAUGCUAUCGCUAGUUGUCGAAAGCUCAAAAAGGUUGAAGAGAAAUGGGGACAAUUUUACCUUCAAAAAGCCCAUAUUGGUUCAUUGGGCUCACUAUUAUGAGCUGAGUGAAUGAAUUUACCCAAAAAAAGUAUACCCUGGCCGUAAUAAAUGACAAACGUCAAGCUAGAUUGGGGCUUAGCCACUUCAUCCACAUAAGAGUCUACAACAAUUUAUUAAAUUCGAAUGGAUUUUGAAUUAGCUAAAUUUGAAUUUUACAAUUGUUUACUUAUUUUGGUUUAAGAUUAUUUUAUAUUUGAAUUGUUUUAGAUUUAGAUAUUUGGAAUUGAAGCUCAAAUUAGAUCAUUACAGUUAAGAACUUUUUUAUAUUAUGGUCGAUUCAAGUUAUUUCGAUCUCGAGCCAAUUUGAGUUUAAUCAAAUUAACUUUAAUCAAGUCUGGGGUCUGAUUGAUUGAAUCUGAAAGAUUCGAGUCCUUGUGUCAUAAAAUUCCAUACAUUAAAGCAUUGACUUCCACCUUUCUUCUUAGCUUGUUUUGGUCCUCUGCAAUUAAUUUAUCUCUCUCAAGUAAUUACCUUAAUUUCUUCUUCAGCUAAUUUAUCUCUAAAGUAACCCUCUUUCAAGCAAAACCGGGACAUCAACCCGGUGUCGCAAAGGUAGUAGCUAGCUUUAUUUCUAGUCUAAGGUUGCUUACUGUUCGUAGGCACUUGUAUAAUGUCGGUGACAGAGCAUUGAUUGAAUGGAGCUUUGGCAAUUUAGAGUUGCACUUAGCUAUGUUUUAAUUCUAAAAAAUUUGUUUAUCCUUUCAGGACUGACAAAGAACUAUUAUUAUCUGCUCUGCAAAUGAACUGAAACCUUUUCUUAUAAAACACCCCCCCUCCUUCCCUUUUUUCCAUGGUCCCUUUGAAGUUUGAGAAUUGCCUGUCGAUGCAAAGUUGGCUACUUGGGAAAAGGUCUCUAAUGUAGCCACCGAUCUUUUAGCUAUUGUAAGCACAAAAUUUAUCAUCCUUCAACCAAUCAUCGGAUGAUUGUUAUCAUCAUAAUAUCCAUUAAUCAGUGCAUUGAAGCUAGCUAAACAUAUAAAUUCCGUCUUGGUCCUUAAAACUCGAUCUAGUCAAUCUAAAUUUGAUCCAAUCUAAUAUGAUCAUAAAAAGUAAACUAAUCAAACCCGUCAACUCAAGCCCAAAUUGGCCCAAAUGCAACUAAACCGAACAUGAAAUGGCUAAACAAGUCACCCGAAGUGACUUGAACUUGAAGUAAUUGGAACUUAAAAUGACCCAAAACUACAAUGAUGAAAUCCUAAAAAGAGAAUCAUCAAACCCAAAAUACCUGAACCUAAAACAAUCCAACAUGAAUUACUCAAAUUAAUCCAACACAAAAUUAUCCAAAACCCCUGAAGCUAGCUAAAGCCUAAAGGUUGGUUGGGAUUGUGCUAGCCGGUGGUAGAAUGCUUCAAACCUGCACACAGUGGUGGGGAUGGAUAAAUAAUAUAUCCAUCGUGCCACGUUCUCAGUCUGACAAGCAUUAUUUGACAAGAAAGAUUAAAACUAUACUAUACUCUCACAAAAUAUGGUGCGCACGGCACAACUCCUUCCUUUAAAAGCGAUCCCUUCUUGGUCCUGCGAAGGUGAAGACAUCAUAUCAGAUCGGAAAACAUAGAAAAAGAAAAACCAACAGACAUUGGAAAGAUGGGCACUGCUAGAAACUGGUUCAACACAGUUAGAAAGAAGUUCAUCAAAUCAUCCCACCAAAGAGAUAUCGUCAUUCCUCAUAGCGAAAAUCUCAGCCAGCAGUCAAUGAUCAAAGAAGUUAGAUACUUCCCCAAUAUUUCACCUUCAUCGAGAUCAUCAUUUCAGACAAAAAAUUUAACCAGAGAGGAUAUUGCAGCAAUUAAGAUCCAAUCAGUUUUCAGGGGUCAUCUUGUAACUACAAUAACUUAUAUUUCUUUUUCAAACACUUUAGAUGUAAACUAACCAUUUCGUGUUCUCUAAUGAUGAACAGGCAAGACGAGCAUAUAGAGCAUUGAGAAGCCUGGUUAAGCUGCAAGCAGUGGCCCGAGGGGCGUAUGUAAGGAAACAAGUACAAAUAGCAAUGAAUUGCAUGCAUGCACUUGUCAGGUUACAGGUCAAGGUUCGCGCCCGCCAACUCCUGGGCAGGUACAGUGAGUGAACGCAGAUGCACCUAGCCAGUGUAACCUUCAUUUUCUACCGACAAUGAACACUGUUUGCUAUAGUUUUAGGUCAUAACCUUUUCUUUCGCAAAGUUUCCAAUACAACAACGAUACGUGUACUCUUUUCACAAGAUUGUAAGCAACAAGAAAAAUUUCGAGUCAUGAUCCAGGAAUCUGAUCAUGAUGAACAGAACUUUUUAGAGGAUCCAUGUUACAGAUUGCAAAAACAGAACAAAUAAAAAAGUCAAAGUAUUAGGGUUUUCACAUAACAGCUUACAGAAAAAAGAAAAUUAGGAACCAAAGAGAGCAAUUGUAACUUAAAUACUGCUAAAAACUGAAUCACUCCCCACAUGCACAUCACUGUACUGAAUAGUUCAUCAUUGCUAUAUAUAAUAUGAUGAAAUACGGACCAUGUAUUCAAACAAUCAUACAUGUAGUUCACAGAAUCCUCUUUACUAUUGGAGUUAAUGGUGUCCCUUCAACAUAGAUGAGAAAAAGCCGCCAGAUGACUUGCUCAUGUGGCGAUCUUCCCCCUUAUCUGCAACCUGUUUCAAUAGUACCAUGCUUAGAAUUGUUUAAUGAGAUAAAACAAAAAGCAAGCCAUAUGAAUACUGUACCUCUUUAACUAUUUGCUGAAGGAUUUCUAUAAUUUCAGAGAAGUUAGGCCUUUGAGUUGGGUCCUGUUGCCAGCAUCUCUCAAGCAGUUCUCCUAGUCUUGGGUGUGUAUUCUUUGGGAUUGUAGGACGUAGACUCUGAAAAGACCAUUAGAUUGUUAUAAGCAAAAUAUCCUCAUUAAAACAGAACGAAAUUUCCGUAUUUUCAUAUUUAUACAAAAAUAUAAGUACCUUUUGCACCACACCAACUGCUGCUUGUAAUGGAGUCAAGAGAGAAUAUGGAAUCUAGCAGUUGCAAUGUAAGAAUAAAUCAGUCAUAAAGAUAUCAAAUCUCAAAUUAUCGUAUUUGUAGAUGAAAGAAAGUUUGCCAUAGACAAGUAUGCACAAUCAAAAACCAAAAUUCUUCCUCAUAAAAUAAUGACUUACUUCUCCUGUCAGUAGCUCCCAGAGUGCUAUUCCAAAGCUAAAAACAUCUGCCUUGUGAUCAUAUGGUUUGUGCUCAAUAACCUACAUUAAUUAAGAUUGAGGAAUGUAAUAUUAGAUUAGAGCCCCUUUCUAGAAUUCAAAUUCUUGUUUGCGUCAAGUGAUAAGUCUACAGUACAAGGUGGCGGAUCAAAUAACAAAAAGAGAUUAAUCAUCUGGAAUAUAAUGGGGUAAAAUUACAUGGUCCUGACAUGGGAAUUAGUUCGAACACCAUAACACGUGUUUUAUGAUCAUGAACAUAAGAUAGCAAAGUGAAUUACAAAAUCAUGGGGAGUAGCUAAACUACUAUCAUGUAAAGAACACAAAGUAGAAACAAAAUGUCUAAGAAAAAUGCAUACCUCAGGAGCCAUCCAUCGGUAUGUUCCAGUUUCUGCUGUCAUUACUCCUGAUUGAGCUUGCACUCUGGCAACUCCAAAAUCGGCAACUUUAACAACCUGUAAAGGACAGACCAAUAAUUUUAGGACAAAAAUCACAAUCUAUUAUAGAAUUUACAGCAUAACAUAAUCCCAGUCGAAAUUCAUAAGGAAAAAAAGAAAACUAUAGCUUUUAAUAGAAAAUUAAUUAAUCAAUGACUUGAUUAACAAAGUAUCUUACUUGAUUUUCAUCCAUCAAAAGAUUGGCAGUUUUCAGGUCCCUGUGGAUAAUGUUGUUUUGAUGCAAAUAGUUAAUUCCUUUGGAAACAUCAAGGGCUACUUUGAGUAGAGAUGGCAACUUAAAAACUCCCCUUUGCUGAUGCAAAUAGUCAUAUAAGCUACCUCUGGCCAUGAAUUCUGAUAAAGCACAAAUAUCACUAUCAAAAACUGGCUAUCUAUAAAAUGAAAAAAAAAAUGUUUCUAUUUUGAUAAAGUCACAGAGUUUAUCAUCAUAGAAUUAAAGGGAUAAAAAGGCAUACGCAUCAGAAUUUUUAAAUUUUGGUAUACAGAGGGGAAUUCAGACACUAAAUUUGUAAUGGUAGGUUUUGUGUCAAUCUCUCAGUUUGCACUCCAAAGCCAGAAUUGUUCCCUUCUAGCAACAUAAUUAUAGAUAAUAUCUGGUAAAGAUGAAAAACAGCAACACUUAACAGCACCAUUUUAGAAGCAAAAGUUUCAAAAUUUUAUGCGCUGAAGGAAAAAAAUUUGUAGAGGAUGAUAAGUCAUAGCUAGAAAACUUCUUUAGAUUAUACCAGUUACAAUGCAGGGAUUUGGAGCUCUUGUACAUGCACCUAUGAAUUGAACAACAUUCUUAUGCCGAAUUUUCCUACAAACAGGAAAAAAAAAGGUUGAAAUUCCACUGCAUGUGAGUCAGCAUUGCAGAUAACUACCAAUAUGUCUCAGCCUCCUAGGAACCAAUACAAUGAUUAGAAUAUUAAUGCAUUCAAUAACUAGAGAAGUUAUUAAAUUCAACUAUAAUAUGUGAGGAACUGUGAGAUAUUCUAAUGAGAUCUGCCACAGCUUAUCUCGUAAUAGUCACCCCCAAUAUAAACACCAGUAUACAUAUGGACACAUGGUAUCAUUUAGUUCUACAGGAGGCUAUAGGAAAAUGAUGGAGUUCAGACUUCAUUACAACUACCAAUCAAACCAAAAUUGGUGUAAUACCAAGUGCUUUUCAAGAGAACUGAAACAGCAAUGUGCAUGGAAAAUAGAUGAUAUGCAGACUACAAGCUAAAAGGUGGCCUGUUUCAGAGCUAUGUCCCUCAAACAUUCUAACCCUCCAUUCAGUGCUAACUCUCCUAUUUUCAAAAAUAAGCAGCAACUGUAGUUAUCUUCUUUCUGUUUUUAAGUACCACGCGCCCAAUAUUCCCCAGCAUUUUAUUCAUUGAAAAUUCACCAUAAUACUUAGAACUUAGAGAGGCGUUUAGCAAAACGUUUCAACCGAGAUCGGGCAGUGCACUGGACUAGUUGUGUACCCAAUUCCAUGCAGAGAUGGGCAUUGGUCAGGAAAAAUUACGAACAGAACUGGGCAAAAUGAUUGAGCAGAUGCUGCUUAAAAUCUAGGUGGUGUUGGUAAGAAGCCUACCUAUCUGGUAGAAAUGGAAUCAUCUGAGACACAUAAGAAACCAGCCACUUGGUCUAGUGUAUCAAAAGAUUCUGGUAACCCAGGGAAACUGCUGGUAAUCCAAGAACCUGGCUCUGAUACACUGAUGCACGCGAACAGAUAAUUCCAGAAAAUAGAAAGAUGAUAGGGAAGACAGAAAAGAAGAGCAGCAAUUGGAAUUGCUUGGAGAAACACGAGAGAAUCCGAUAAUUUUUUAUUAAGAGUUUAUAGGAUUUGGCUUGAAUUUGCAUUGUGAAACAUCUAACUACAGGACACAUUGAGAAUGCUUAUCAGAAGAAGCAACUGGUUCCCUUCAAAAUAAUUAGCAUGUACCAGCACUCCAACGAACCUCAUAAUAAAAACUUCCUGAGAAAACUCUCUCAGCAAUUCUCCUGUAACCCGCUCAGGCUUGAGGACUUUAAUAGCCACUUCUUGACUAUAAUAUGUGCCUCUGUAUCUGAAGAUGUUAAUUGAGAUUAUGAGUUAGAAUCAGUACUCUCCCUUAUGUCAAAGGAGAAAAAAGCCUGCUUGAAGCUGACAAAACUUACAGAUCACCAUAGGACCCAGAUGCAAUCUUGUGUUCAAUUUUGAGCUGCCUGGAAUCAAUUUCCCAUACAUCAGUUCCAUCGGUCGGGAUUUCAACACAAUUGGGCAAAGAAACAGCCUCUUCUUUGACAAGCCCGGUCAUAGCAGAUAUUGAACUCUUUCUCACACAAGAUUGCUCCUGCAGCCAAUUAUAGGAAGCAGAAGAAUAAAUAGGCUAUAGCAAUCCAUAAUCAACAUGAUUGCUACCAUGGUCUUACAAGUCAUCAUCAAGUAUAGGGAGUUGGGUUCAUCUACUGAAAAGCAGUCAGUAUGCAUCUGUUUGGAGGACAAGCACUAGAAAACUAAGAACUCUAAAGCUGAAAAGUGGAAACCAAAAUUGACCUUUCACCUUCUGAUAAGUUAUAUUUAGCAUAUAACCUAUUUUAACUAAGAAGAAUUAAUGUCAAAGCUUCAAUUUGGAUAUAUAUAUAAUGAAAGUCUAUGCCAACAAAAAGGAAGAUCACUAGCCAUAUUUGGCAUCAUCUGCAGCACUAAUAGCAGUGACAAGGCUUGAUUCAGCACUAAUGGCAAAAGAUAUAUAUGAGGUCAUUCACGGCCAUCACAAUUGAAGUAGUGAAACAUGAGUAACAUGGAGGAAAUGGUACCUGAGACUUUAAAAUUUCCUUCUCCAGUGCAUCUUUGAGCUCCUUGGUUUCCUAAAAGAUUAAUGAGUGAAACAUUGCUUUUCCAGACUUAGCAACAAGCAUUUGAUCCAGUGUUCACAAAUAUAAGAGCAUACCUCAAAAGGCCAACCAUCAACAACAAAAACAUCCAAAGAGUACCCAUCAACAGUGGAAAAAGCAUGAGCUUCCUGAAUGUUCAAUCCAAGCUCCGCAAGUAAAGAAGUCAACUGAAAAAAUAAUCAUCAAUAUCUAUCAUUCAUCACAAGAGAAAGUUUCAACAAAAAGUGUACCAAAUGGGAUCUUCCAGCAAGAAGAACAUAGUAAAACAUAAUAUGACAUCAUAAAGGCUAGUGCAAACAUAAAGAGCUGUAUCCAUGGCAUCCAUUGUACCAGUGCAUUUUGUGUUUCUUUCACCUAUGAUGAUGCAGAGGCAGUAAAUCAACAGAUUAGAAUUUCCAUUGAACAAAAGCUAGUGCAAACAUAAAGAACUGUAUCCGUGGAAUCUAUUUCAAAUCAUCAGUAAAUGAAGUGUUAAAAUUUUAUCUUUACUUUCUAUGUGAAACUCUGAUUAAAAAUGCCAAUGCUGCUGUGUUAGAUAAGCAAUGAAACUACAGCAUGUUUCAUGUUAGGCAACAGAAAGAGGAUGCCAAUAUCUUUCAGAAAUUUAUGAGAACACACAAUGGCCCACAUCACCACGACAGGAGAAGAGGAAGCAUCAACUACCUGACUAAGGAGUUUUGGCUUGUCAACUGUAGAAAAGGUGAUCUCAUGCAUAGGCCUACAAGAUUCCGGUUAGAGAAUAUUAUUUAUGUAAAAUCAAGUUAUGCAACCAUUAACAAAAAGCAGCAGAUUAGUUAAAGAUAAAAUGCAAGCAAAAUAGCUAAGGGCUCCAGUGACAAAUAAUAACCAGAAGAGAAAGAUAAGCCACUGUGUAGUACAAAACUUAAAAGAGACUCUGCACAAUUUAUCAAAAUCCUUACCGGAGGCCUGAUGUUGAAUUCACAGCACUGUCUCUAUCUUCACUUGCUUGAAGAUAAAAAGCUUCAAGAUUAGGUGAUGAACCAAAGGUAGGUGGUGGGUGGAUGCUGAAGAAAGACAGAAAAGGAACAGCAAGCACACCAAUAAAGAAAAAAGCAUAGUUAUGUUUGGGUCUAGAAGGAAGAAGAGCCCAAAAAAAAUCAAUGGAAAUAAUAACUUUAACUACAAUGAGCCUUACCCCUGUCUAUUUAAAUGAUAAGCACUUUCUGCAUCUGCUUUUACAGAAGAAUCAGAAUGAACAGAGUCAACAGAAUUUGAGGCAGAAACAGGAUAAACCUAUAGAAGAUACCAGAAUUUAAUAAAAUUAUAUCAGUUAAUACUAAUUGUCAAAGCUCAGCUACAUUCAAUCUCCAGGAUUUUGAAAAGGAUAAUGAGGUAUACCAUAGUCAAAGAGAAACAUCAAAUAGAAACCCUUAUUAUUAAGGUAUAAACAAUAGAAGAAGCAGAAAUGUACACCUGCACGAUGCGAACAUCAAAAACAGGAAGAUUAGCAGGGUCCUCUGCCAGAUGCAAUAAUCUUUUAUGUGUAAGCACAUCUUCUGCCCGCUCCACAUUCACAUCUAAUGCGUAUCUAUCAAAAGUAACAGAAAUCUCAAAACAUGGAACAGAACAACUCAUAAUUUGGUAUAAGGUCAAGUAUUAAACUAUUCAGGAAAAAAGCACCAAUAAUUUCCAACUUCAUUAACUAUACAAACGUGGAAGGAUAAUGAAAAAGAUGAAAAGAGACAAACAAGGCUGUUUCUCUUAUUUGAUAUGAACUCUUUUUUUUUUUCCUUUCUCGUUUGUUAACGACAAAACGAAUUCUUUAAAAGGAAAGGAAAAGGAUCAUAGUAAGAUUCAUGAAUCUUAUAUCUAAGCAACACUUCCAAAUCAUCAGCAAGACAACAACAAAAACAAUCGUUAUACGAAUUUUAAAAUGAAAAAGCUGCAGAAUCGAGGAAAAGCAGAAAUCUAGGAUUAGAGUUAGUACCGAGCAGGGAGUCGAUUGAAAUGAAGCCAUAGCUGAUCAUCGAAGCCAGGCAGAUUAGCUUCUUCAUAAUUAGACUCCUGGAUACGCUUAAGCACCUCGUUGUAAACGUCCAGCUUUUGCCUGUGAUGUCGAGGAUUCACAUGGACCAGCGAGUCCACGGCUCUACUCCCGCAGCUCUCAGUGUCCUCUUCAAUCGCCAUUGGAGAGUCUCGCAACAACCACUAUACACUAACCAAAACAGAUUCACAGCAAAAUCGAGCACUCAAAGAUUCAUUUAAAGACACUAGAAAACGAAACUGAAAAAGAAACGGGCUAAAUUUAUUAUUAUAUUUGAUCCAAUUGAGAAAAAUCGGAGAGCAACACGAAAAAGGAGAGUGACGAGACAAAAGCUCCAACCAUCAAAUAUAAUUAAUUAAUUAAUUAAUUAAUAUUCCUUUUUAAAACUCAUAAUCAAUACCGACCAAUUUAAGGUUUUGGGUUAAUUGCACCUAUCCUUCCUAUACUAUUUAUUAGAUUCUUUUAAUCCUUAAAUUUUAAAAUGUUUUAUUGCAUCAAUCCAACCUAUCUAUUGAAUAUUUAAAACAUAAUAAUCAAAUUGUAAAUAAGUGUGUACCUAUUACAUGUAUAAUCUAGAUCUAACGUAUUAAAAAAAUUGAUAGUGUCAAUAAAAUUAUGAGAGCUAUUUAUUUUUUAACACGUUAGAUUUAAACUAUUCAUAUUGUAUGUACAUACAUGUUUAUAAUGUGACCCGUGUGCUUUUAUAUGCUCCACACCAUAUUUGAGCCGACAUUUAAUGCCCAAACUAAUAACUAGAUUGAUGGAAAGAUUUAGUUGCUAGAUCAAAUUCUACAAUUAGUCAUUAUAUUAUGCGCAAGUUGUGGAUUUAAUCCUAAUACUGAUCAAAUAUGAUCCUUGUACUUUUUGAUUUGGUCAAUUUCAGUCCUUUUCUUUUUCAAAAUUUAAAAUUUUCAAGCAUGACCUAAACUAUAAUUAAAUUAGCAAUUAUAGUAUUAGUCAUAUACUCUGUAUAAAGUUGUAAAUUUAGUUUAUGUUCUGCAAUUUUAUCAUGCUUAGUCCUUACACAUUUAGUUUAAUAUUGGGUUGAGAGAAGUUUAGGUAGAAGAAUAAUAGAGAGUUUGCAAAAUAAAGGGAUAACUAUGAGGUGUUGGAGGUAAUGCUUCGAAACACUUUUCGAUGCUUAAGUCAAUGACGGAAUAAUGUUUAAGAAUCAUUGAGUGAGGUGAGAGUAAAGGAUUAGUUUUUGCCCUCAAAGUGAAAAUGCCUUUGUGAUGUUGCAAUAAUCUCAAUUGCAUUGAGGUGCAAGAAGAUGUAUAAGACAUAACCGUUGUUUAUCGUUGAUCUUUUGAAGUUUAUGCCAUUGCUUGGCAAAGAUGUUCGUAUCGUUUACACCUUGUUCCUACUUUCUGAUUCUUUGCUAGGUACUAUUGUUGACCUUGUUGGGAAUUUGUCAAACUUCAAAAAAUAUACUACGGAGGUUUUUUUAUUAGAAGUUAGAUUACAUUUUAUCUCUUUUACUAAAAAAAUGAGCAAAUUAGUCUCUAUACAUUAGAUAAAAGAGAAAACUAGUCAUUUUUGUUAAAACUUUCAUCCACUUCUACUGUUUAAAACUAGUGUGACUAAUGGAAUAAACAAACAGUUACACGAGGCGUGCUACAUGUACCUCUUGAUAACGUAUAAGGACCCAUUUUUAACAACAAAAAUAGAUGAAAUUUUUAAUAAAAAACCAAUUUUUUCAUCGAUCUAAAAGACUAUUUUACUCAUUUUUAAGUAAAAAUUAAAAUUCAAUCAAACUCCUAGUAAAAUGGCCUCCGUGACAACUUUUAUAGUCAAAUUUCACUACAACUUAUGUCUAUCUUUUACUCUUGGGCUAAUCCAUUUAUACCAGCUUUAUCACUUAAUUUUUGGGCUUAUACACUAUGAUAUAACAAGACUUGCAGCAAAGAAAUAAUUGUCUUUGAGCCAGCCCAUCACCGAUCCACAAUAGAUGUAGGAAUACUUAUGGUCAAAUUUUGUUAUUAGUCCCUUUACUAUGCGCAAGUUACAAAUUUAGCAUUUGUACUCUAAUUUAGUCAAUUUUAGUCUCAAUACUUUUUCAAUUUCAAAAUUUCAAUCUUAUCCCAUAAAAACUAAAUUCAUUAGGUCAAUAUUGAAAUUCUACUAUUUGUCUCAUACUAUGUGUAUGUUGUAGAUUCAAUCUUUGUUCAUUGAUUUGAUCAUUUUUAGUGUUGUACUUUUUAAAUAAUGAAAUUUCAACAUAGACUCAAAUGCUAGCAGUGAAAUCAAUUAAUUCACGUAACAUAGUUUUUGCGAAUAUUAUGUGGAAAUAAUAAGUUGACAUGGCAUUAAUGACUUUAAUUGCUACCAUUUAGGUCAAGAUUAAAAUUUUAAAAUUGGAAAAAGCAUAAGGACUAAUAGCAAAAAUUGACCAAAACUUACCAACCAAACGGCCGGCAAUUCGUUUAGGCAGUUGGAAAAUUUCGAAGAAUUAAAAUCAGAGGUAAAUAUAUAAAGGUUAAAAUAUGCUUGAAGCCCUUAUAUUAUUUGUGCAUUUGGACUUCAGUCCAAUUUCUCUACUUUCUGGAUUUAAAAAUUCAGAUACAAUUCUUUAACAUUCUUUUGUUAAAUUUGCUAGUCAUGUAACAACGAAUUGACAUUAUAAUAAAUUCGAAUUUAACUGAAGAUUUUUAAUAAUAUUAACAAUUAAAUUUAUAUUUUAAAAUAUAAAACGUACAGAGAUUAAAUUCUAAAAUAUACAAAAAGUUGAAGGGCUUGAAAUAUAAUUUAACGUACAUAAAUUUUACAUAAAUAAUAUUAAAUGAGUAUAGAUGAGAUCAUAAAUGCGAAAACUAUUCGCCCAUGUGAAAAACCUACUAUUUCCCUUUUUUACCUAAGCGAGUAGUCACUAUCAAAACAAUGUUUUUUAAUCUCCAAAAAUAACAUCCAUGUAGGGUGGUAAAAGUAAUAUUAACUUUGUUUAUUUUAUUUAAAAAAUAAGUAAAUUAGUCUAUGUUAAAUUAAAGAAUAAAUUGGUCCACUUCUACCGUUAAAUAUUGAUCCCUAUACAUUAGCAUGAGGUAUAUAUGAUAUACAACAUCUCAUCAUUUAGUUUUUUUGUUAUUCAUACCAAUUUUUAACAAAAAAAAUUGAUAAAAUUUUUAACAGAAAAAAUCUCUCUACCUUUUCAUCUAUUGUAUAGGGACUAAUUUACACAUUUUUAAAUAAAAUAGAUAAAAUAUAAUAUAAUAAGGACCUCCAUAAUAUUUUCACCCAUCUAUUCCUAUUUUCUAAUACGAUUCGGUAUACGUAGUAAUUUCUGAUUUUACUUUCUCGUCUUCUCUGCACAUUAUCAAAAGGUUUAUCGUCGAUCAAAACUUCACCCUUCAUAGCAUUGGCUGCCCAACAUUCAUAUAUAUAUAUAUGUAUGUUUGUAUGUAUGAAUGAUUUAAGAAGCAGUUGUUACGGGAUAUAGCUCUUCUAAACCCUAGCUCUUGUGUGUGUAUGUAUGUAUGUAUGUUAGGUAUCUAAGGUCUCUUAACAACUCCGUUGGCUUGCAACUAAAACAGUACUUGCAAAGUCCUUUCUUUAUAUACAUAUAAUCGUAAGUGACAUAGGACUUGAAGUUUUACUGAUGAUGGCAACUAAUAAUAAUUUUGUCGGUUUGGUGGGUUAUAGGGGCUUAGUCAAGGCGACCGGGAGAGACCUUAGCCUCCUUCGUUAAAAUCGGAAAUUUAUUUUUUCAACUCUUCUCAAAUAUUAAAUUAUUUAAUUCAUGAUGCAAUUUAAUUCAUCCCUCCAAAAUUUUAAAAUUUUAUCUCGACACAAUAUAGGUCAUCCUAUGGCUCGCAACUAUACAAUUUUGUCUUUUUUUUAUUAUCAUGAAAAUAUAAAAAAAUUUAAGAUGAUUGAGUAACUAUUUUAUAACUUUUCUAUCUCUACAUACACACUAAUAAAAAGAACCCCAAUGCAUGGUAAGAACAUAUAUAUAUGAUGUAAAUAAUACAACUAGUUUAUAUCAUAAGCUUAAUAUAUAUAUAACGGGGUUAUGUAGUUGAUAAUGCAGGAGAACAAAGAACAAACCUUUGUGGUGGCAUGAUAUGGUGGCUUUUUUACAAAGCAUAUAAAAAGCUUGGACAUAUAUGAAAGAGCACUAAGAUAUUGGCACGGCUCAAUCAGACCAAAAUAAUAAUAAAGAAGAGAGAAAGUGCCUUUUAUGUUUCAUGUCUGAGUGAACCAGGCCAAUAUCAAAGUCACUAUUUCAUGUCAUAUUACACCAUAUAAUAUAAAAAACCAUCCAUGGAUGGUUCCUCUUCUAACAUGCCCGACAUGCAGUUUGUCCCAUAAGGAACUGCAAAUCAAUGAAGAAUAUCAAACAAGUUAAAGAAGAAGACAGAAAGAGAAAAAUGAGGAAGAAGGUGUUGUGUUGUGUUGUAAGAAUGUCUGGGGGGUGGAGGGGGGGAGGGGGGAGAAUUUAAGAGAGUAAGAGAGGGUUUACUUUUCUGCAAUACGAGCAUUUAAAACCCUCUACUACCAAAGCAGAAACUUGGGGCCACUGCAUUUAUAUCCAAUAUUAUUCUCCCUCUUCCCCUCCCCACAGUCCCAUCCAUGUUUUUCUUUUUCUAUGAAUCAUUAAGCCUGCCUUAAAUUCUAUGUAUACUUCUCUUUUUAGUUACAUGGGGCACCCCAUCAUGGAUAGUAUGGGUUAGAAGAUUCCCUCCCUAUUUCGGAGGGUUUAUAUAAAAAUAUUACAUUUAAAAAAUUUAAGUUAAUUUAAAAUAUAGAUCGAGUUUGAGUUUAAACAUUCAAGACUUAAAAAUGGUUCGAUCAUCUUAUUUUGAUUUCUCGGACCAAGAGAUCCAUGAAUCAGGAUCCUAAUGCAUAUAGAUACAAAUAGUCCAAUGGGAACAAGAAUUUUCAUGAGCAUUUGAAACAUUUCAUUUCUAAGUAGAAGAGCCGUUUUCGAGUAGUGUUCGAUCGAUUACACAUUAAUCAAUACCCGAUUGAUUGGUCUGAGGUUAUCGACAAAAAACAUUUGUCUAAGUCACUUCGUUUCUUUUUGUCCAAGUUGCUUCUCUUUUCGUCUAACUCACUUAAUUCCUUUUUUCUUUGUGAGUUCGGAAACUUGACCCAACCCAUUUUAAAUUUAUAAUAAUUUAUGUUGUUUUUAUGUAUUAUGUAAUUUAUAACACAUAAAAAAAUAAAUCUAUAUUUAAUAUAUAAUACUACUCUAAUGUAAAUAUUAGAAAAAUGUUAAGAUGACUAUAUACAAAAUUUUAAUAAAUAAAAAAUGGGAUAAAUCCCGAAACUAUAUAUAAAAUACGGUUUAAUGUGCAAUUGUAUACAUGAACUUUAAUUUUGUGCAAUUUUAUACAUGAAAUUUCUAUUUGAUUCAGUUCUUGUAAAUUAUCAACACAAUUAUUGAUAUAAUUAACAUAAUUUUAUGUUUAUAUAUUGCAUGAACAAAUAAUUAUAUUUAUCAAAUAUCAAAAUAAAUCGAUGUAUUUAUUUCUUUAAAUGUAUAUGAUUAAAUCAAAAUUAAAGGUUCAAGUAUACAUUUGAACCACAAUUAGGGUUUCAUGUUAAAUUAAAAUUAAAGGUUCAAGUAUACAUUUGAACCACAAUUAGGGUUUCAUGUGUAUAAUUGCACUAAAUUAAAGUUCAUGUAUACAAUUGCACAUUAAAUCGAAGUUCAUGUAUAAUUUUGAGAUUUAUCCCAAUAAAAAUAUAUUAAAUUAUUAAAUAUUAAAUAUUAAAAUAAAAUAAUAUAAAUAUUUAGAAAAAAAUUUUAAAAAAUACGGUGAGCCUAGGCUUGGACAAAACUUUAAGCUCAUAUUUCGGGUUGGGCUGGGGCAAGCAUAAAUUGUGUUAAUAUUAUGCUUAAGCCUGACCCGAACCUGGCUCAAUCCGACAUGUGAAUAGGUCUAUACCCCCUCUUCCACAACUAAUAUUAAUGGUAAAAACACAUCUUAAUUUGUCAAUCUCGAUAUCAAGUAAAUUAGUUCCUUUUAAAAAAAUUGGAAUAAUUUAAUCGUGUCAAUUUCAAAAGUGAGUUGAUAACAACAUUAAUGUUUUUCAUCAAUUGUAAUCAUUUCGAUUGAUAUAAUAAUAAAUUUAGUCCUCGAUGUUUAUGUAUUAUGUGUAAAUAUUGUGGGCUAAACUUGUUAAAUAAAUAACAAAUUGACAAACUGUGUAAACUUUGAGUGCUGAAUCUGUUAUUAUACCAGUAAAAAAAUGGUUAAAAUAUGCCAUACGUCUAUGCACUCUUCAUCUAUUUUGUGUAGAUAGUGCAAGCUAAAUUUGUUAAAUUAAUAACAAUUUGACAAAAUGUGUAAACUUUGAGUGCUAAAUUUGUUAUUAUACUAAUAAAAAUGGUUUAAAUAUGCCAUAAGUUCUUGUACUCUUCGUAAAUUUGAAAUUAAAAAUCCCUUUAUUUUUAUUUUUAGUAAUUUAGUCCCACUAUUUUUUAGAUUUCAAAAUUCAAGUCUAAUUGUUAAACCUUUUAAAAUUAUUUUGUUAAAUUCAGAUUUAUUAUAAUGUAAUUUUUUUAUUUAUAUAGUUAUCAAGUGAGUUUUUUUUCAACCAUUUUAACAAAAAAAAAUGUUAACAAUUGGACUUGAAUUUUGAAAUUUGAAAAAUAGAUAAACUAAAUCUCUAGAAAUAAAAUUUCAAAUCUAUGAAGAGUACAGGGACCUAUGGCACAUUUUAACCAUAAAAAAUAUACAAUUGAUGAAAAACUUUAACUCUGUGAGUAAUUGUCCUUAGUCGCUUACAUUCAAAACUAAAAUGGAUUAAAUUGCUUUGUUUUCUUUUCUAGAGACCAUUUUACUAAAUAUCAAAAUUAAAAGGGACUAAAAAAGUCAUUUUACCAAUAUUAAUACAUGUAUCAAUAGCUAGACAUUGCAUGCAUGGACCCCCCUCAAGAGAGAGCAAUAAGCAAAGCAGUAUUUCUACUAUGAAACUGAGUUGGUAUGAAGUAAAAUAUGGUCUGUCUGUUGGAGGGGUCAACUGAAAUCCAAUUCUUUGCACAAAUGGCUAAACCAAAGUUCCAAAAGUAAAGAAAAAAUAAUAUAUACAUAUAUAUAUAUAUAUAAUAUGAAGGAUUAAAUAGAAAAUAUUUGUAUUAUAAAGACAAGCACAUGGGGGUUGGUCAUAGUUAUAAAAGUGAAGCAAGAAUUCAAAAAAGAAAGUGUGUGCCCCAAUAGAAAGAAAGGCAGACAAAGUCCAUGUCCAUGAUCGUGAUACUCUCACUGCAUUGCCGAACCAGAAAGACCACCACCAUUAAUGAAGGAAUCUCUCUCUCUGGGAUAGACAGUCAGCAAUAUUAAUAGCCAAGGGGGUAACUAGUCAGACCUGUUUUUAGAAAUUGGAUGUGCUAUUCAAUCCUAUUUGGAUUUAAAUUCACCAACUUGAUUAAUUUUAAUUGAGUUUGCCUUCACUUGAUUUAGUUUAUGCAAUACGAACGUGAAACCGCCUUAAACAAAAAAAUAGUUUCAAAUUCAAAAUGACUUAAAGUUGAAAUAACACGAAAAAAUAAUCAGAAAUUAUUUUAACUCGGUACCAGUACAUGCCAUUAAGUAUUGGGAGGGUCUACUUCAAAUUUUCAAAAAAAUCAAGGGGUGUAAUUAGAUUUUUCAAAUUUUCAAGGCUUACUAAGAAGUUCUAAAAAAUUUGAGAUUUAAUUAAAAUUUUUAAAAAUAAUUCUGGAGGACUAAUGAGAAUUUUGAGAAAAGAAAGUAUUCAAAAUCAAUAAAAAUUUUGAAAAAAAAUUAAAAAGCAUAAUGAAAAUUUGACAGAUAAACCUAAAUAACUCGAAUCUAAAAUAAUAUAAAUUUAAAAUAAGUUGAAACCAAAACCAAAAUAGUUGGAAGACCUUGCUCCUCUAAUUUGCAAUAGUUUUGUUAUAAUAAUUUGGAUUCCCGCUUAUCCAUAUGCACAUAGUCAUGACGCGUACAAUUAUUUGAUUUUUGCUCACGUGAUACAGGAGGAUGAAUUAAUAUAUAUGUAUAUGGGACCAAUAUGUAGGUACUAAUAUCGAUGUGUUUCAGAUUUAUCAAAUAUUAUAAUUUAUACCUUAAUUACAUACACAUUCAAUUAAUUUUAAUUACUGAAAUACCAUUAAUCAUUUCUCUCUCUAUAUAAACACAAAAAUUGCUUUCAAAUUUCCUAAUAAAUUAGCAAAAAAUGCCGUUUUUCUUUCAAAAAAACAAAAUGAAUAAAUCAAUUUUUGACAUAUUUAUUAGAAUAAAUUUUGAAGAGAAAAAAUAAAAAUGCGUCCAGCUAAAAUUUGUGAGUAUCGAUAGUAUCGAUACUUUCUUAAGGUUAUCGAUAUUUUUGACUACGCAAUAAAAAACGCAUCCCACUGGACACGUUUGCUUGCAAAGUAAACUAAAAACACGUCCAACCAUCCAAAAUCGGUCUAUUUCGAUAAAUAUGACAAAAAUCGACCUGUUCAUUCAAUUAACAAUUUUUUUAAAAACGGCAUUUUUGACUAAUUUAGCCUAAAUUUCCCAUUAGUUUCACUUUAUAAAUAUAUAUAUCAAACAAUCAUCUCUAGUAUUAUACAAUAAAAAAUUAUAAUCAACCAUAAUACAAAUAAAUAAUGUAUAAUAAAAUCAAUUAAUUAUUUAGAAUACCCAAAGAUGAAAAAGGUGCAAGCUGUGUAUUGCGUCAUUGAUAAUCAAUCAAAGAAUUAAAUAUAGCAAAGCAACAUAAAUAAAUUCGAAAAACAAGAAACAAUUAGAUAUUUACAUUCUAUGAAAAAACCAUAAUAUAUGGUCUUCUGCUAUACAUCAUAGUUUGCAUAAUCAUAAAAUACAAACAACUUCAUGUGUGAACUUUGAAUAUAUAACCUUCAUUAUUAUGGCUAUAUCUCAUUGUUCAAGUUAAUCCAAACUUAACCCUAAUUAUGGUCCAACAUGUCAAAAUGUUAUAUCUAUACAUGGCCUACGUUGCUCCUUUGCCCGAACAUGAGUAUGAGGGUAUGACCCUCCAAACAUCCUCUAAAAACAUGAAAAAAAAAAGCCACUUUAAGAAAGAUAGAUUGUACCUGUACCCGAGACUCAUUCGUACAUACCAUCUUCUGUAAAGCAGGAUUAUGCAUUAUUCUAUGUUAAGAGGUUAGCAUAGGCAUCUUCCUGAAGCAUUCUGGUGAAACUCGGAAACCAGAAGGUAUACCCUUUGGCUUGUAAUAGUAAAAUCGAAAAUGAAUUAUAGCUCACAAGUAGGCCAACCAACAAGCAUACAAGCAUGGUUACAAUCAAAACAUGUUACUGAUUAUGACUCGAAUUGCGUAGCUUCAUUAGUUUGUCUCUUAACAUUGCUGCAAGAAGUUGAUUCAUAAUGUAAGACGCUAAGGGGAUGCUAGACAGAAUGGAAAAGUGGAAGGAUGGAAAGAGGGUGAAAAAGUGAAAAGAAAAUCGAUAUUGAGUGUGAUCAUUAGGAAAGAAAAUAGAAAUCACAACCAUUUUCCAUCCCAUGAAUAAAUAAAUAAAAUCAUUCCAAUUUGGAACAAGAAGAGUAGAUAAAACGUGAGAUGUAAGUUAAAUGUACAAAAUUAUGAAUUCAUUUUCUUUCCUCUCGUUUCUCAACUCUACUGAGCAUUGAAUGGAAAAAAAAGAAUACAUUUUUCUUUCCAUUUUCCAACUUUCCUAUCGAGCAAAUCAAUAUAAAGAAAAUAUAUAUAUAUUUCUAGGUUUCUACUUUUCCACUCCAAUUUUCCAUACUUCCAAUUUUUUUUCCACCUAGCAAAGCCUAAGAUGAAACAAAAAUAUAUAAUUGAACAAAGAAGGUAGAUUCUAUAAUCUUUAUUUUGGUUGGAAGAUUAUAUUCUAUGUUCUUAUUACCUGCAUCAUUGUACCUUUCUUCUUCAACAGCUAAAUUCAUAUUCCUCACCAGAUCAAGCUCCUCUGUUAAUAAAUCCGGACCCUCCAUAGCGCUGGAAAUACACAACCGUGCUUAGAGUUAAUAUAAACCAACCGGACUUUACGAAAAACACCAAAUGUAGCACACACAACAUACCUGUCAAGCACUACAUCGUAAGUAGGCGUUGUAUCGCGCACUCUGCCCAUCCCGAAGCCAAUUCUAAUAGCAUCUUCCAAGACAAUUUGUUUACUUACAUAGAUCGGAGCCUGCAUAUAGAAAACACCAAUUAGAAGCUGCGAAGAAGCAAACGGUUGAAGUGAAUACAUUAUUGAACCUCGUAAAAACGAGUCAUUUGACAUUGACAUAGAGAGACAGAAUGCAAAUUGAAAAUACUGGACCAACCUACUUAAAUUGGAACGGCAGUAGGAAUCACAACAGAAUAAGACUAAAAUGCAAGCAAUUGCCCUUUCGUAUUGCAAAAGAUCGGUUCAUUGUAAUUUCCAAGUACAUACCUUGCAUCUAUGAGCCACAUUGAUGGCAUCCGAGGGCCGUGCAUCUACACUUAUCACAUCAUUUUCUCCCGGCUAUAAACACAAAAACAAUAACUGAAUCAGGCUCCUUUAUCGAAUGAAUAAAGAACGACAAUGCAAUCUUUUAAGUUCUAAUCACCUUGCUAAAAUACAACUUUGCAAAGUAAGUAUUGACAACUCUUUCUGUAAUUCUCACCAUUUUAACCUGAAAUGAAACACAAUGUAUAAAUCAAUGAAAAGAGACAUUACACAAUAACAUCACUAAGUUUGUAAGAGAAACUAGUAAUUGGUUCACAAUUGAGAACAUCGAAGCGUCUCGAAACCAUUUGACUCGAUUAUACCCUUUCUUAUUUUACAAAAUUUCUUACUUAUUUCCACUAAAUCCAACCAUUCAAAAGAGUUUUUUAAUAGACAUUAUACGUAAAGAAACAAUUAAACCAAGAAACUGAUAAAAUCUAGGAAAAUUUCAGCAUGAAAAAAAAAACCAACUUCAUACUUCAUAUCCAAGCUUCUCCACAACAUUUUUAACAAGAUGGAACUGAUCUGGACAUUCCUGCAAAAAACCCAAAUUUAUUUCAAGAUAUUAACAUAAAGAUAACAAAAAUCAGAUGUUAAAAGAAAAAUAGUAACAAGCUAAGAAAUAUUACCCCAUUAUCAUCUCCCCAAAAGGAAGCUAUAAGUUUUUCAACAGCAAAUUCCCCUAGCAUCAGCAGAUUAAUAAGUACUAUUAAACAAAACAACAGAUCCAAAAUAAAGUGAGAAAUAUUGUUGAUUUUCUUGUACAUAUAUACCUACAAUAAUGGGUAACAAGAAAUCCCCAUCACAAGAAAUCUUGAGAAAAAUAGUUGGAGUAGGGAAACGACUAAGAAAAGAUUGUCCAAUAGAAGCAAUUUUAGCCCUCGACAUAGGAUGCUGUUCUCUCCUCGAUGAUUGCCAUUUAAUUUCUUCUGUAAUUCCUUGCCUUAACAUCCGAUAGUGCGAAACAGUUUCUACACCAAAUUCAACAAAAAAUUUCCCCCAAAAUUAUUAAAAUUCAACCAAAUUCAAAACACUAUGUGUGUGUAUAUAUAUAUAUAACAAAAACAAAGACGAGUCGAAACCUGAAACGAGAAGAGAAGCUUCGAGGAACUGAAGAUCUUUAUCAUCGUCUUCGUUGAAUUGGGGAUCGAAGCUACCACUACGGAUCGAGUGGCAAGAAACCGGCCGGAGUUUCGCCGGGAAAUGUAAACGGAUUGAAGAAGAACGAAUCGACGGGAAAGAAAAUGCAGGGAUGGUGGGAUAAGUAGUAGCAUUUGAUUUAUGGGAGAAAACCCAGAAAGUGGAGAAUGUACGGUAGCAAAGUUGAGCUCCGAGCAUUGUAUACGAGAGAUAAAAGGGAAAGGAACUGAUUGGGGUUUGGAUUUGGAGUUUAAUUUGAACAACAAGUUAACCAAUGAAAAUGACAAUAAAAAAAAGUUAGUUGGAAUUCGGAGAACAGAGUGGGGAAACACCGACCCGACAACAUAUGUACACGUGUUCAAUUUAUCUUAAGCUUUGACGUGGAAAGCUAAGCUUUAAGCAUGUUUUAACUUUAGAUUUUAUCUACCCUUGUUAGUUUUUAAUUUAAUCCCUCGUGUUUGCCGUGGAAGCGGUUUAGGACGUUGUUCGAUAGAGAAAUGUCAUUUUGUAAAAAUAAUGAUAUGGAAGAUAUCGAAUAAAUACUUUAUAAAAAUAAUUCUUGCGUAGUUUAUAUUUUGGUCCUCUAACUUUAAAAAGUUAUAAAAUUGUCACUAAAUUAUUCAAAAAAAUUUAUUUUAAGUCAUUGGGUUGAUAAUUUUUUUUUAAGUUCGUCUAGUGAGCUCUAAAUAACGAUUUGACGAUCAAUACAGUGAAUACCUUUCAACGAGUAGAAGAACAUACCUUAAAUCUAAGUUGAUUUGAUGGUCAAUGUUGAAGAUUGGAGAAAAAAAAAUUGUUUAAGUUUUGGUUUGUAGAUUUACAACGUUCAAAAGUUUUUUCAUGAACAAAAGUUAAAUUGUAGAAGAAAAUGAGGAGGGAACCUUUCAGUUGGUGGAAGCAGUGUAAACAAAGAAUGUCAUACAACAACGAUUUUAAGUGCAACGAUUUCAAAUAAUUUAAUUAAUAUUUUGUAACAUUUUAAAGCUGAGUGACUAAAACGUAAACUUAUAAUAAAUUAAUGACAUUAGAUGUAUUUUAUCCAUAAGUUUUUUUAUCUAUGUUUUUUAAGUGCAACUAAAAAUAUGAAUGUCACCUUUUUAACAAGCAGAUAUUAUCUUCAAUUGAGAUUUUAUCUUCAUAUUUUGAUAAGAAUUUAAGUAUUUGAGGUGACGAGUUCACAUCAUGAGAUUGAACCAUACGUUGUGUACAAUUACUUAGGGUAGACAAAUAUACAUUUCCUAUGGUUGCAUUUUAACCCAUGCCACUUAAAUGAUAACAAUGAACACUUGAUCAAGUUGAUCUAAGCUAAAUUAAGUGGUAACAUUAUUGGGGUUUAAACUUCACCAUAAGCAAAGAUAAGUGACCGUGCAGAAUUUAUCUCGACAAGACAUUCCUCUUUGAAUCCACCACUUUAAGAAUUUGAACUCUUUCAAAAUCGAGAGACAAAACUUCAAUUAAAGACAAUAUCAACUCAUUGAGGAAUCCAUAGCUCCCAACAAAAAAUACUUCAAAAACUUCUCUAAAAGAUUCGGCCUCCCCUCAACAAGACUCAAGAAAUGUAUAAAUCUAUGAGAUCUUAAACACUUGGUUUGUCCAUGUUAGUUCGUUUACCAAUCAAAGAACCAAACCACCUAGCAAAGCACAUAGCUAUCAAGACUAGACAACUUGACAGAAAACAACCCCGAAAAAACAACAAACUGGUCAUUGAGCAAAUCAAAUAAACCAACAAGAAGAGCAACCCGAAACACAAGCUCCAGCACUCUCAAAGCUCACAAUGUCUCCAAGCUCUAUCCAUCACCAAAAAGACAUCAACAAAAUGUAUAUAUAACAUGGUGUAUACUUUUAGAGAAAUGGAAAGUGACAAAAGGUAUAUAUUAAUCAUUGAUUUGAUAAAAUUUCUUAAUAAUAUAAUUACAUGUGACAAGCUGAUCAAUAUGUAGCAAUUGGGUGCAAGAAGCAAACAAAAACAUUCUUCUUAUAAGUGAACUACCGGUUGUUUCAUCAGCACCUAGUUUCACAACAACCUGAAUGAAUGCGGUUAAAUUGAUCAUCUUUCAUUGCUUUUUGGCUUGGGAAGCUGCUUCAAUAUCUUGAUCAAUUCAUAUGUUCUCAUGUCUCGACCCAAGUAAAGGCAAAGAUCGAACGGUGUUAAACCAUCCUGAAACAUGUAAAAGAAUAGAUGCAUCAACAGAACAGCCAAGGAAAAAUUAAGACAAACAUUAUGAAGGGACAGCAGUCUAAAAUUACAGUAUCACUCUAUACCUUGUUUUUUAGCAUCUUAUUUGCCCCUCUAAUUAGUAAAAGCUUCACCACAUCGGUUCUUCUAGCUUGAACGGCGAGAUGUAAUGGUGUCCAACCGUCCUAGACAGGCCAAAAGUUGAAACAAGUUCAUUGCCAAAACAGAAAAGAAUAUCGAAAACAAACUCAUAAAACAACAAACUAGGAAAAGUUAACCAUACAUUGUCUUGAAGGUUUAUAUCAACAUUGUAUAACAGAAGAAGUUUAAUAGUAGGAGUCGAUGCGGCAUUAACAGCAUAAUGCAUCAAGGUGGCUCCAUCCUGUUUGCAGCACAAAACGAGCAUGUUAAUAUUUACACAAAGCCACUCUCAGUCAGUAAAAUAAGGUAUACUGUCAAAUUAUCUCAAGCCCCCAUCUCCCUUUCUUUCCUAACAUGAACACAUCAACAAUGAUCACAAUACAGUGGCAAAUAAGGUUGUCACUGGGGAACCAUUUAAUAAACUAAAAUUCCCAUAAAUUUCUAGAGUUUGCAUAUCUCACCUCAUCACGAACAAAUGGAUUUGCCGAUUCUCUUAAAAGAUAGUUGGUAAUGGCCUGCUUUUUUCCGAUAAUUGCCUUGUGAAUUGCAGUCAAACCAUUCUGCAACGAACAUCAACAAACUCAAAAAUCAUGAAAAAUUGGUAAAAAUGUGAAGAAAGUCUCCCUAUCUAAUAGCAUGUAAUAGUUGACACAAGAGAGCAAAAGAAAUAAUUUACACAAGAAUAUAAAAGAGACCAAGAUUUAUUCUGUCAGCUAGAGAACAUUUUAAUACCUUGUCCACAGCAUUGAUGUCAACAUUGUGUUUCAACAAAGCAUCAACGAGGUAGAACUCUCCUGAUGCGGCAAGAGUGUGAAGAGGCAACCAUUUUCCCUAUAGAAAGUUUCGGCAAUAUGACAAGGAAAAUAGUCAUUUCUCAAAAGUAAACAUAUAUAAUAAUAGAUACAUUCAACCUUCAUAGCAAAUGAGAUAUUCUUGGUGAGCUAGGUAUCAAUGGCAUUUUGUCAUGGAAUCUAGCAUGUACAAUGAGAAACCUUUCGGUUGUUGGUUCCCUAUGGAUAGCAUGGGUGCAACCAUAUAUGGUUAAAAUGUCAAGACCUAUGGCAGCUUCCUAUUGCUUGGGCAAUAGUUGGAACACCUUCUACUGGCAGCUGAUAGUAUCAGCUGUUUGGAAUGCUAUCAGACCAAGAGCUGACAAGGUGAUAUGGCACAAAUUGGUCUGGUUUCAUUUCAAUGUUCCUAGGCACUCCAAAGGAGUCCAGGGACCAAUUAUGGUGAUGUUCUUGGAUUAUGUCAGGUCCACAGACAGGUUGCAUGGGCACAUUCUAUAAUUUUAUGCAUGGCAGAAUUUUCGGAACUUCAGAAGCUCAAGGUGAGUGAUGUACCAUAGAAGAUCAAGGAGACAGUUGCAAUGCACAGGGGCGAAUAUAAGGGAGGGAAUGAAAAUCCUGCAAUUUAGCCCCUUAAUGAAUAAAGAAAAUUUAAGUUAUAAAAUUGCACUCCCCCCCCCCCCAAUCCCCAAAAUGAAAAAAAUUCUGUUUAAUCCCUUCGGAAAUUAUGAAAUCAGAAAUUAAUAAAUACAAUUAUAUUUUGACCUCUUAAAAAUUUAUAAUUCAAUUCCAACCCACUAAAAAAAUUUCUGGAUUCGCCCAUGGCAAUGCAUUUAUGCACUCACAACAAAGUUAAAGUUGAUAAUAUUAACACUGUCUUAUGUUCAAAAGAGGACUUUACUGUUUGAAUUAUAGCAGCUAGUUCGCUUAUUUGGAUAAAUAGAAUUACUACUUAUCUAAAAAAAAGGGUACUUGCCCCAUGUCAACAGGAAGAUGCAUGAUACAAGAGAAUAAUCCAAUAAGAUGAGAACAGAAUUUGCUUAAACAAUGAACUAAAGAAAGCCAAAUUUAAUCAAUAAUCAAGAGCUCUAAAAAACUUACAGAAGUAGCAGCUGCUAAAUCAGGUACACGCCUAUUCAACAUAAGCUUUUCUUCCUUUGUAAACAAUUUACGUGAGCCUAUAUAUAUACAUAUUCAAGCACAUAAAGAUUAAUAAGAACAUUAUAAAGAAACCAAAAAGAAAAAAAGCUUAAUUCACUAAAUUACCUUGAGUAUUUUUCUCGGCUAGCUGAUAAUUUUCACUGUUGAAAAACUCAGCAACAUCAUCGAACCCUUUACUGUAAACUGCCCACCUAGGAUUCUUUGGAGCUACGCGUUCACUCGAAGAUGGGUUAUUCACUGUAUCCUCCAUUGAAUCUUCUUCGUUUUCCUUCUUGGGAAAUGUCGAUGGAUUAUCGAGAACCACGGGGUUCAACUGAGCUAAUUUAGCUUCUUUAUACUUCAAGUAUUCUUGCGAAUUCAUGGUUCUAAUAGGGACUAAACCUUGCUUCUUCUUCUCAACUCUACGCCCAAAUUCCAACUGUUGCGCCAUUUUUCGUCUUUCCUUCUUGGUUAUAUUCAUCUCUUCUACCACAUGGUUCCAUUGCUCUGGAACUAAAUUCUCAGCUUCAAUUUCUUGUUUGUUCUUUUUUGGCUUCGUUUUAGCAAAUCUUGUGGUGGUAUUGGGAUUGUCAAACAUGGAGUCAGGUUGGAGAUAAGGGUCUUCGAAUGCACCGUCUUCGAAGACGAGACAAUCACCGAUGACGUGUUCUUCGUCAUCACCGACGGCGGCGUUGUCUUGGGUUAUGUAAGAAGAGAGAAAGGAAGGGGAAACGGAAUGUAAUUUUCGAGGGAAAUACAAGUUGUGAGGGCGGGAAAGCUUAGGAGGAGAUGUUGAAAGAGAGAGAAAUGAAGUGGACGAGAUUUUGGGGGUUGGGGGUUUUAGCAAUGAGGAAGGAGAAGGCAGUGACAUAGCUUUUUGCUCUUUAGCUUAAAAUCACCAAUAAAUUCAAUUUUGUUUACACGAAGCUUAUCAGGAAAUGAGGCUAAAGAGACGAUAAUGAUGAUGGUCGAUGAUGGUGGAUCGAUCGGCUUCCUAGUUGGCCCAUUAAACCAUGCUUUUUAGAUGAUGAUUCAGCCGGAAAGCCCAUGCAAUGCAAACCCAAACAACUCAGCCGCCCAUCAGCCCAGACCAAAGGGCCGACAUAAAAUUCUAAAAUUUUGAGGAGGUUGAAGGUAAAUAUUUUAUUUUACUGGGGCUUAAAUUAUAUGAUUAAUAUCUAAAAGGGAUCAAAAUUACAAAAUUUUCAUUUAUUUAAAGGACUUAAAAGUAAAUAAUUAAUGCUUAAGAGGGACUCCUGAUGAUAUUUUCCCAUUUUGUCAAGGGGUCAAAAUCCUUGCCUACGGAACACUCCAAAAGCAUAAGUCACACCCCAAACAAGGUGGUUAUUAGGGAUAUGCAUGCAAGUUAUUCGAGUUUAAUUUGAUUCAAUAAUUAUUGAGUUAAGUUAGAGCUCAAGCUACUCUAACUAUAAGCCGAGAGGAAUUUGCUCUUAGUCUUGACUCAAACAGUUUGUGUGCCUUAUUCAGUUUUUCAUUUAUAAUAUAUAUUUUGAAUUUUUUAUUACAAAUUACGUUAUUAUCUUCAAUAUAUUAUUAAUUUUACAUUUAAUUAUCAAGUUAUUAUGAAAAAAAAAUUAUCGAGUUCAAGCUUCAAUACGUACGAACUUAAUCGAGCUUGAACCAAGCUCAAAAAUAAAUAUUUGAUCGUACUCGAGCGAGUAUUGAACUCUGUUCUCUUUCCAAUUAAGUUUUAUCUCAAUUGGAACUAUUACUAUUAUAAUAAUAAAUAAAUAUAUAUAUAUAUAUAUUCAAUUUAAAGAUUACGAAAAAGCUUUGAAUAAAUUAUACAUCACAUAAAAAUACCCGUUGUUUUAAUAUCAAAAUAUGUUACAUAUAAAAGAUUGGAUGAUUUUUCCCAUAAAAUUCAACAUAUUUUUCUUUCAAAGUAUGCUACACAUAUUGCAAUAUUAGUAGAUUAAGUAAAAGGAUAAGAAUUUUCAAGUAAAAAACAGAAAUUUUUAAAUAAAUAUUUGAAAUAAAUUACAUUCAAAAAUUUUAAAUUCAAAUUAAGUUUAUUAUCUGAUCACUCAAAUUUAAAAUGUUAAAUAAUAUUAUCUAUGAACAUAUUGAACAAUAUAAUUGAAAAAUAAAGAUAGUAAAUACUGAUAUUGUACUUCAAGCGGGCGACGACAUUACUCGUACUGAAAUAAUGGCCGAUGAAUUAGUAGAAUUUGAAGAGAGUACUACAGGCAUUGCCCUAAAUUUGGAAUCAAAUAAUAUUGGUGUUGUAUCAAUGAGUGAUGGUUUAAUGAUACAAGAUGAAAGUUCUGUAAAAGCAACAGGAAAAAUUGUUCAGAUUUUAUUAAAUUUUAAAAGUUUUCAUUGAAGUCACCUAACUAUUAAAACGACAUUUUCUAUUCACAUGCUGACCCUCAAAUUUAAUAUCUAUUCAUCUAUUUGUCAAAAAAUACUAAUACAUCUUUACAAUAAUCAAAUCCUCACUUGAAACUCAAACUUUUGAAAAAAAUACUUAAUAACUAAAAUAAAAACUCAUAUUAUAAUUUUUUUAAAGCUGAAUGACCAAAAUGUCAAUCUUGAAACUAUACGUAUAGUGAACUUGAAUAUAGUUUACCCUAAAUAUUUAGAAGCAGCUUACCGUGAGAAAGGAAGAUCAAGUAAAAUAAAAGUUCAGAAAUCAGAUUCAUAAUUUCCAUACAAAAACAAAAAAUGGUUCGCAAUCAGGUGAUAGCUUAAAGCCUAAUAAUAUUUAACCCAAGUUUAAUAAUAGUGUUACCAUACAAGGUACCCCUACAUGCUUAAAGAGAGAUAAGAACACUGCAAACAUUAACCUUGAAGCUCCGUCCAAACUAGAGAGUACAUCAACAUUCAACACUGACGAGACUAAAGCAAAUCUCUCAUCUUUCCCCUUCGACCCAAAACACUUCUUCACCUAGAUCCGCGAGAAUAUGGUGGUGAAUAAGAGCGCUCCCUCCUUGAUCUUCCACCAUGAGGAGAAUACCUUGGAGAGUAAUCACGACCUCGAUAUGGUGAGCGCCUUGGAGAUCGAUGAUACCCGUAGUCAUCACGACCACCACCACGGUACCUGCCACGUUCACCACGACCUUUUCCCCAAUACAAGAACAACCAUCAACAAAAAUAUUAAUCUCGAGUCUCGAUGCUACUCAAAAUCAUAUCGUCGGUAAAAGUAUCAUGGAAACUAUUGUAUUAAAAGUUAAAUUUGCAUUUUGCCACCUUUACUUAAAAAAUAGACAAAUUAAUUUCUGUACGUUAAAUCAAAAGGCAAACUGAUUCUUUCUGUUAAAAAAAUUCAUUUAUUUCUACUAUUAAAAACUAAUGUAGAUAACAUACAAAGACAAAUUUUUAACCGUAAAAAUGGAUAGAAUUUUUUAACAGAAGAAUCAAUUUGUUCUUUAAUCUAAUGUACAGGGACUAAUUUGCCUUUUUUUUAAUAAAGAGGACAAAAUACAAUCCAACUCUUAAUACAAAAGCCUCCAUAAUACUUUUACCUUGUAACAUCAUGUUUUCUAACAAAUAAAUUUAUUUAAAAUUUCAAACUUACCAUAGUCUCUGGUAUUUUUUAGUCCAAGGUAAUGGCCCGGUGUCGGAGUCCUAGGCCGUUUCCUACGCGACUGAAAAGUAGAAAAAAACAGCUUAAUAUUCAACAAGGCAGAUAUUGGGUUAGCCUCAUCAAAAUGGUUUAGGAUCUACAGCAUCAUGCAUCUUUGACCAAAACCAUAUCAUUAGAAAAAAUUAACAUGUUACACUGCAAGGGAAGAAACAAAAAACUUCAUUUGGAAGAUCACCUGGAAGGUGAAAAAAUGGCCAUUGAAAGAAAGGGAAGACGAAAAGCAUGAUACACACCCGACACAAGUAUUUCCUAUCAUAUAAAUGUCAUAUGUGAAUACCAUAAAAGCCUGAUUAUAAAGUUGUUGUAUUGGCCGUUGAUUAGUUGAGAGUUGAAAGUGAAUGCUGAGGUUGUAUAGUUGUUGGGCAAACUAGUUGCUAAUUUAGUUGAUCACAUGUAUUUUCAAGCUGUUUUAGCUGUGGCCAUUGAUCAAGCUUGUUUGACUUAAGUUGAGAUGGAUGAUCUCAUCAUCUUUGAUUGCUGCCAACAUAGCUGACACAAUACUGUUCUGAAUAUAGCCAGAAAACCUCCAGGUUAAGGAUGAUAAACGCACAAAACUAUGAAGUCUAAGCAACAAGGAUAGAAUCGGAUUACCCUCUCCACGGUUAUGUAUCGACCUUCUAAAAUUGAUUGGUUGAGAUACUUGAUGCAGCGGCUCGCAUCCUCAACGCUGUCCAUAGUAACAAAAGCAAAACCACGAGAUAUGCGAGUACGAGGUUCAACAACCAGGAAACACGAUGCCACCUUUAAAAUAUCGAGAUAGGACAUUAGUAAUAAAUAGUAAAAGAGAAAAACACCAGAAUUUUGAGUCCAUAACAGAAAACAAACCUUCCCCUCCUUGGAGAAAUGCUCUUCAAGGUCCCUCUCUGUGACCCUUUGAGAUAGACCGGUCACAUAAAGUGUGUUGCCAGGAUUUCCAGCUUCAACCCUGCGACAUCAAUCCAAAAGAAUAUUAAAACAAACAAACAAACUAGAGCAUUUGAGCCUCCAACAUUCACGUCCUUGAAAAGGGAAGUAAAGUCAAAAUCAAAACUAACCUGCCUCGACUUCUUGACCUUGACCUGGUUCAAAAGAAAAAAGAAAAACAUAAGCAAUCCACCAUAAAACAUAUUGUGGAACUGAAAUCAAGCAGGUGGACAACAAACCUGCCGCGACUAUGUGACCUGGACCUAUGCCUUGGCCUCGACCAGGAGCGGGAUCUUGACCUAGACCUAGACCUAGGUCUAGAUCUGGAUCGUGACCUUGACUGUUCUCUCCAUGGGGAGGGAGAAUGAGAAUUCCUAAUACAAGAAGCAAUUUAUGAGAUGAAAACGGAGAUUGAUGCAACCAUAACCAAACAACAGGCUUCCCAAAAAUGCGGAGCGCACAAUAUAAAACAAAUCCUCCAAAUCCUAAUAGAAAAGAAAGAAAAGGGAACGUAAUUUGCAGCAAAGAAAUUGAUAUUGAUUGAAUCCCUCACAAUGAAGCUCAUCAAAUCCCUAAAUCAUCCCGACUUAUUUAAUCUAGGGUUUCCCAAUAACUAAUCUUGAAACAAAUAACCAAUAAAACAAGCAAUAUAUCCACAGAUCAAAUGCCAAAAUACACCGAAGAGAUAUGAAGCUAACCUUUUACGAGGAGAAUCCGCCUGUUACAUAAUAAAAACGCAUUUAAAAUUUAAAUCAAAGAAUUCUACACCAGCUAAAUGAAACGCAAACAUAAUAGCAAAUAAACAAAAUAUGUGAACAAAAGAGAGAAAUAUCUUACCAUCUUGGCGAAGAGAAAGAGAACCCUAGAACGCGAGAAGGGAAAUUUGAAAUUUUAGGGUUUAUACGCGCAUGGAGUAAUAGCAAAGGUCAAAUAAAUGCCGCCCUCAUUAUAAUAAGAAAAUUGUGAAGGAUAUUUUAGGGGGAGAGAUUCAAUGCGGUUGACUUAAAAUAGAUCUUCUGUAUACCACCACCGUUUAAAACAAUUUUAAAAAAUGGCUUAAAUAUUCUAUAAAUCCCUAUACUCUUUGAAAUAUUAAAAUGUAGUCCUUAUAGUUUUCUGAUUUAAAAAUUAAAUUUCAAUUAUCAUGAACUAAAUUGAUAAAAAAUUUAAAUUUAACAAUAGUUUAUUAAUAAUGUUAUCAAGUAGAAUAAAUUUCAAAAAUUUGAAAAAUACAGAGACUGGAUAAAAAUAUAAGGUUUAAAAAAUAGACUUGAACAAGAAAAUUAAACUCGUUUUAAAUAUAUGUCGAACUUAAACUCUAAUAUUCAAGGUUUGAGUCUAACCCGAACAUUUUUAAUUAUAUAGUUUACUAUUUAUUUUAGUUUUAUAUAUCAUGCAAUUUUUAUCACAUAAAAUUAAUAUUAUAAUGUGAACAUUAAAAGUAUAUCCAUUUAUUUAUGUUUAAAAUUUUAAUAAAAAGUAUAUAUGUUAGAGUUUGUGUAACCUGAAUCCCGUCAUUUGUUGAAUAAAUAAAUACAGUGACAAAAUAAGGUCAUUUGUUGAAUAAAUAAAUAUAGUGACAAAAUAAGGAGGUCUGUAGGGGCAAGUGAUCGAGGGUCGUACCGCACAAGUUGAGCCCGUAUAGAACUGUACUUCUAUUAUUUGACUUUGAUUAGAACAUAAUUUUUCAAGUGUUACAUAUAUGUAGUCGAAACUCCUAUUAUUAUUAUCAACAUUUAUUAGAACAAUAUAAAAUUAUUAUUAAAUGUUGAAUUAAAAUAGUUUUUUUUUUAAGAAAAUGGAUAAGCCUAAAAUUAAUUAAAGUUAGUCCAUUUACAAACAAAAACUAAAUACACAAUGAAGAAAUGGAUGGCAAGAGUAAAAUCAAACAUACCCUUUAUUCAUUUGGUUAUGUUCAAGCUCUAAGAAUCUGCAACCACAUUGAUGCCAACUGAACUAGCCACAUGACGCACACUUCACACACAUGUACACACGUGCACAUACAUACAUACAUACAUACAUACAUACAUACAUACAUACAUACAACGACGCACAUUUUUUGCGAACUAAUACUUCAACAAAGAACUAAGAACAGAAGAAAUCUGCAAUUGAUACACAUGGUGAUUUACGUCGUAAGAAUGUCUGGAAGCUUAACCGAGUGAGUUCCGAUUACUUUGCCACCAACAUCUGGGAAAUUUUCAUAUCCAGGGAGUGGUUUCACUUUCCCGUCAAUAUCUACUUCCAAAGGAUACCUCAUAAGAUGGCCCUGCAAUGCCGAAUAAUCGGUAUCUGUAAAUUUCUUCCAGUUAUCUUCAGCAACUGUGUUUACUGUCUUCACACAUUCUAGAGUUUCUGGUUCCUUGAAACACUUACUUAGCUCACCAAGAUGCUCUGCCCAUAGGGACAUUCUAUACCCGUAUACCUGCAAAGUCUCGAGGCAGUGUUUUCGAGUCAUGUUUCGUUUUACAUGUAAAUCGAUCAAAAAACAAAAUGUGGAGCAUGUUUUUCAUGUUGCAAAAGGUUCCUAUAUUACCAGGGUAGUAUGCCACACUAAUGCUAUGAAUACAUUCCGGUUUCAAGACUCGAAAUUGAUGCCUUUUUCUUACCACGUAUGAACAACAGCAAUGAAAAAUGGUUCGAGGAUUAGUUUUCUUACCUGACCACGUGGAUGUUUUUUCUUUUCAGCCCAUGUAUAAUGUGGUUGAUAUGCAGCCAUAGCUAUCUCACUGUCUUUUGUACCAGCCAUGGAUCUUUGGUUAAUAUUGGCUGACCCUACAAUCACAUACUCAUCAUCUAUGACCAUUCCCUUUGCAUGCACGUAUAUCAUGAACCGACCGAACUUUGCAGAGUCAGAGACCUAUGAAAAACAUAAGCACAGCAUACUUAACAGUCAAGAAUCUCCCCACUGUUAAUCAUAUCCAAAACUAGAUAACUUUAAGUAAUUACCGAAGUUCCUUUUCCACCAAGCAUUUCCGGGGUGACCUCUUCCCUCUUACCAAGACAAUAGAAAUUGAGGUAAUCUUGAGGAUGCGAGUCCGUAAUCUGCAUGCUCUUGAGUUCUCGUGCGACGAUAUCAUACAUCAUUUGCAUUGUUUGAGACUGGAAAUAUACGGACCACAAUAAAGAUUAUGUCAAAAAAGUACCCCAAACCGAAAACUGAACAGAAAUAACAAAAAAAGAACACGACUAAGUACUAGAAACCAUCUUUUCUUAAAGUAUGCUAAAGGUCUCCCAUUACAUAUCAAGUCUAAGUUCAGAACCAUGGACUAGCAAGGAAGCUAUAUAUCAGAACAAGCAUAUGAUUACAGUUAAUACGAACCUGCCAGUAUAGAAUUUCCUGUACAGAAAGAGAUUUUGUAUCACCCUCGGGCCACAAAGGAAUAACGAUAUAUACCGCAAAUCUCUCUCUUGCUCGGAUUUUACUAGCAACCUUUAAUGCCAGCUCCAUUGGGAUCAGAUGAUCGGCCCCUGCAUCUUUAUACGAUGGCCAAGCAUACGAAGAUCCCAGAAAAUACUGAUUUUCGAUAUAUAUGUAAUGCUGAGCGGAUCUUAUUGCCUGUAUAUAAGCUGUUUGAAUGCUUUUUUCUAUGACCACAUUUUUUGAAACUAAAAGAUUCUGCAAAGAAUCAAAAUAGGCCAUUAAAAAUUUACAACAUAGCCAAUGUAUUACAUAGUAAGGUUCUUCAUGUCAAGGAAAAACCUGGUUCUCGGGUUUUCUCAUUGGUCUUGGAAAUCCUUUCACUGAUCCCGAGUCAAUGGAGCGGAAAAUCUGCGGAAGUAAAAGAAAAUUGAACCAACAUUACUAUUAAAGAACAACAUCAAAAGUGCAGUUAAUAGCAGGAAAAUUUUACACAACCUGAACAUCCCAGUUGUCACGAUCAUCGAUACUAAGAACAUGCAAUUUGGGGUCAUCUUCUGGAAUUAUUGUAGUGCCGUGGUCUGUUACAGCUAAGGAAGGACUUAGUAUCCAAGAGAUUCGUUCUAUCCUAAUCAAAGCAUCGUCAUUCGAUGGCAUUUUUCCUGCACAAAGUAGACAGAAAUCCUUCCACUUGGUCGAUUCCCUCCACCGCUGCUCGAAGUUGAUAAGAACAUCAUAUGCGGCAGGCCCUUCAAUUCUGGUGUGUAAAUCAUGCCAUGGUUGCCUAGGAGCCUUGAUUCCAGCCUUUAAAAUAUAGAGGAAAGUGGAAACAAGAUGAAGGAAGAUAAGAAAGUGCUAACUGCCAGCGCGCUUGAACCCACAUCCUCUUGUACUAACAACAAUGUAAAUGCCCACUGAGCUAAGACUCAGUCAACAUCUUGUUGGUGCUUUUAGUGGCAGCUUAAAUGGCACUUAAAUGACCGUAAAAUGAUAACAUGAUACUUUUGGGGUGAGAUCAUGUCCAUUACUUUUUCAUUCAUUAAUUUCUAAUUAUAUAAGCAUUAACAUUCAAAUGUGUAAUAUUGAAUAGUAAUGGAUACAAAAGUAAUGGAGGGGAACCAAAUAAGCACAGACUCCCCGGUAGUGAACAAAACCCUUACUAGUCGGAUUUGGGGAUGUUUAAAACUUUUGUCAUCCCACUAUCCAGUGUCAUAUUCUACAUAAGAUGCUUUAUAGGAAAGUGAUACAUGGUUUUAGUAAUUGCAAUUAACAUACACAAAAGAAUAUCUGAACAGAAGAAAUUAUUAAUAUCAAAACCGAGCAAUCACUUACGGAAAAAGUAGGAUUAUGAAAAUCAUCCUUGAAGAUGGUGUCAAGAUCAUGAAGUAUUCGAUGUUCAGGUGUAUCAUAGCGACCAUCACAGAGAUCGAUGCCUCCAACAAAUGCAGUAAUCUUUCGAUUAUUACCGGCUGCCUGUGUAUCAACAAGAGCGAACUUUUGAUGAUGCGUAAACAUGCUUCCAACAACCUGAUCAAAACCAUUGCAAAAACCAACCUCAGCAGCAUUAUAUAUGAACACUCACGACACGAUAAAAGUACUAUGGAAGCUCUUAUAUUAAGAGUUGGAUUGCAUUUUACUCCUACUCAGAAAAUAGGCAAAUUAGUCCCCAUAUGUUAAAUUAAAGAGCAAAUUGGUCAUUCUAUUAAAAAUUUCAUCCAUUUCUAUUAUUAAAAGUUGAUCUUUAUUCAUCAGAAUGAGACGCACAUGGCAUACCACGUAUAAUUGUCUAGUUAUUCUCUCAAUUAUAACAGUUUAUAAUAGUAGAAUGGAUGAAAUUCUUAACAAAAAUAACUAAUUUGCUCUUUGAUCUAAUAUAUAAUAACUAAUUUCUAUAUUUUUUGAGUAAAGGGGUAAAAAUAUAAUCUGACUCAUAAUAAAAGGGCCAUCAUGAUACUUUUACCCUCACAACAUAUACAGUAAAGAUAUUUAAUGGUAAAAGUACCAUAAAGGCCUUAUCGGAUUGCAUUUUGCCCCUGUAUUAAUUUUUAAAAGUAGAAAUGAAUGUAAUUUUUAACAGAAUAACUAAUUUGUUAUUUGAUCUAGCGUGCAAGGAUUAGUUUACCCAUUUUUUUGAGAAAAUGAGGUAAAAUACAAUCCGACUCAUAGUGCAAGGCAUAUACUUUUACCCAUGUUAACUCAUCAAAGAACAAGAAUGCACAAUAAAACCCUUGCCUUUUGUUUGAAAUAACCCAGCUUACUAGCAGCAUAUCGACCAGCUAGCACACACAUAACAGAUGAAUGCUUGAAAAACUUCAAAGUUUCUUCAUCAUGUGUCUGCAUUAGUCCCAUCUGCAACACCCCGCGGACAUGAAUCAACAUUAAUGUCAAAGACUCAUAGCUGAAACAAUAAAAAGAACAUGCUGGGAAACUUGUUACCUUUCUAAUACCAAAUUUAUCUGAAGUUUUAUCAUCCCAAACCAACAACAACACCCUAACCCCUUCUUCAGAUUUAUAUUUAAGCAAUUCACCAAGGUUUAAAUCCCCACCUCGAGGUAAUGGCCUAGUUGGUUCUCUAACAAGCUUAACCUUAUGAAAAACAGACCAACCAGCAAUGUAUAUCAUAUGGUGAGCUUCAGAUAUGGCAUAACAAAGAUCCUCCCAACACUUUCCUUGGUUAAAUACUUUACCAUCGUCUAGUUCUAUUUUGGGUAACAUACCGUCCGGCACAUGAGCGUCUUGGUAAAGCGUCACUUUGUUCCCUUUCCUCAUCGGGAAAUACGUGUGCCUCACGCCGCCUUGCUCCGGAUCGCUGGCGAGGCUCUGUUUAUACAAAGGGUUUUCCUCACAGGGCGUGAAUUUCAUGUCGAUGUGUAUUGCCGUAGUCGGCUUAGGAGGCUUCCCCGAUGAGCCAAUGAGUGGGAACCACCCAGUUAUACGCUCUCCGGUGGCGAUUUUUUGGGCGAGGAAUUUGGUAGUGCCAAUGACUUCAGCGCCUAACAGGUCGUCGUCUUUGACGUUAAUUUCUAGCUCAGUUAAAGGAUGAGCCAUGGGGAUUAUGAACCUCUCGUUCCAUUCCGGGUUAUCAGCGCUCUUCAACACGCGUGUACGAGCUAAAGUCGAUUGUGGCACCGUAAUGGUGACGUAAGGGUCGCUGGUCAUGAUUUUAUGGUGGUGGUGGACUUUACCAACUUCCCCUGGUUCUUGAGCAGCUGCUGCUUGUGAUGGAGCUUUACAGGUCUCACAAGUUAAGCAUUUACGAAGAUGAUUAGACACUAUAUCCAUGUUAGGCAGCUUCCGAGCUUCAAUAAUGGUUAAAUCCAAAUCACCGUAAAGGUAAAUCACCUGCUUCGACCCUUCUCCCUCCAUUUUCAAAGCACACACACACACAACAAAAAAAAAAACAGAACCGGAGAGAAGAACAGAGGACAAAAAGAAAGGUCCGGCGGCGGUGAGAGAUUUGGGUAUUAAACGAAAAUCCAAGACAUCGUUGAUUUCAGUGAAUUAAAAACUGGGUUGAGCUUGGUUUAAGCUUUCAUGAAGUUUAAGAACAUGAAAAAUGGCAACCAUGCAAAGCCUGCAAGGCUGCAAGCCUGCAACUGCAGUUACAGAGACGACAACUAAGCUACGCUAAAGGCUAAAGCUUUGCUUGCUUUUGCUGAUUAAACAAAUGGGAUUCCCUUAGUUAAAGCUUAUAACAAUCGUUUAUGAAAAUUAUCAAGUAAUUUAAGUCUUUUAAUUCAUCAAAUUAUGGAAUAUACAAUCCCCAAUAAAACGCUUGAAUGAAUGAUUAUGUCUUCUACAGAAAAACCAAUGAAUUUUUAGAUUACUAAAAGUUUGAUGUGACCGGAAACCAUUUUUUAUUCGGUGGGCACACACUCAUAUUGCUCAAUUUUGGAUAUUUUUUAGUGCAGCUACUGCGUUAAUACUUAAAAUGUCAAAUUCUGCUAUUAGGGUGCGUUUGGUUCGCUAUAUUGAAUUAGAGGUGUAUUGGAUUAGAGGUGUAAUAGUCAAUUCACUGUUUGGUUAAAUGUAAUGGAAUAGAGGCGUAAUAGUAAUCUUGUGUUUGGUUGAAUAGAAUAGAGGUGUAAUAGCAUAAUAGAAAAAACUAAAAUGACUAGAAUACCCUUAGCAUAAAAUUGUUUUGGUAAAUAAUUAUUGUUAUUGUUAUUUAAAUUUUAAAAAGAUUAUUAUUAUCAGUAAUAAAUAUUUUAAUCAUAUUUAAACAUAAUUAUAAUUAAAUAUAUUUUAAUUAAAAUAUAUAAUUUAAUAAAAUGCUUAUAAUUAGCAGAAAAUUAUUUUGGUAGAUGAUUAUUGUUAAUGUUAUUUAAAUUUUAAUAAGAUUAUUAUUAUCAGUAAUAAAUUCAUAUUUAAAUAUAAUUAUUAUUAAAUAUAUUUUAAUUAAAAUAUAUAAUUUAAUAAAAUUUUUAUAAUUAGCAGAAAUUACAUAUUGUUAUUUAAAUUUUAAUAAGAUUAUUAAUAUCAAUAAUAAAUAAUUUAAUCAUAUUUAAACAAAAUUAUUAUUAAAUACAUUAUAAUUUUGGUAUAUAAUUUAAUAAAAUUCUUAAUAAUUCAUAUUCUUAUAUGAAUUUACUCAAAUCAUAAUAUAUGAUACUAAAUGAAAAUUUGAAAUAAUUAAUAUUAAAUAUAUUUUAAUUAAAAUAUAUGAUUUAAUACAAUUUAAAAUAAUUAUUAUUAAAUAUAAUUUCAUAAAAUGUUCUUAUGAAUUUACUAAAAUCAAAAUAUAACUUGAGAAUUAUUUUCUGCAUAAACAUAAUUAACUUAUACUAAGAAAAAGUUAGAUGAAAAUGAAAUUGUACAUCAUAAUCCAUAUGUUAUAUAGUUUUACAACAUCAAAAAGUUUGAACAUUGAUAUUUAAUGGUGAGAAAGAAAUCUUCUGACCCAUUCCAAUCGGGCAACAGAAGGUAAACUAAAGAAAACGAUCAUUUGAGUUGGAUGAUCGGGAAUUUUACUCAAAGCAUCAUACCGCUGAUCGUCGGUACUGAUUUGAUCGCCAACGGCCUGGAUUUUUUCCCCCAACAAAGUGGCAGCCUCCUCAAAUGAAGAAUACACAUUAUCACGAGCAUCAGAUUUCUUCUUUCUCUUGUUUGAAUAUGAGGAACCCCCUUGGUCUCUAUCUCCACGCGGAUCUGUACCAGAAACAUCCAUGUCGUCUAAAGAAACGUCAGCUUCGCAGUCAUAGAAUGUGUUUCUCUCUUCAUUCAUAUCUGUAGUACGUUCAUCCUCAGCACGUAUUUCUUCAAGAACAUCAGCAGCUGUUUGAACGUCUUUCCCAGUCGCCCGAUCUCUUGCGUAUAUCGCAGUAAGCUGGUUGUAUAAAGGGAAAGAACGAUGUCUGAACUGAGAGGCUUCUUUGUGACUCUAAAAAAAAUGAGGAAAUCAUAUUAGUUAUAAGUUUUGUAAAAAAACAAAUAAAUACUUGAAAUACAUUUUACCUUUACAUAGGAUUCCCAAACUGCAUCUUCAGCAACAACGAGCUGCCUAUGCUCGUCCCAACCAAAACCACUGUUGUUUUGGCCAUUAAGCAUGUCGUAGACGACUGACCAUUCCUUUUUUAGGCACCUAAUCCGAGAUUCAAUAUUUGGUUUCGCCUUCAACAUUGCUCUUGGUAAAGCCUUUUCUAGCAUUUUCUCUAGCUCGUUCAAAUAACCGACUUUGAACCCGGUAUCAGCAUUAAAUGUUCCUACAUUGUGCAAAUCCACCAUGCAAGAAACCAAGGCUGCAUCCUCCUCUGGAACCCAUUUUCUUUUGCUUCCUCGAGAAGCUUGAGAAGAAGCACCCGUUGGUGGAACACCUGACAUAUUGUUCUUAAAAAAAACAAACAAAUUAACAUUAUUUACUAUUUUGAAUAUCAUUUAAUUGUUGGGUGAACAGUUUAUAAUAUUAUAUCGGUAGUUCAAUACUAAAUUUAAAUUUAUAACACAUGCUUAAUGAAGAGAUAAUUACAUUAUAAUUCAACAAAGUUUCAUAAAGUUUCAUAAAUACCACCAAAGUUUCACAAAGUUUAUACAUAAAAAAACAUCAACAAAUCAAUUCAAACUGAAUUUGUCCCUAAACCUAACUAAUUUCUAGAUGCUUGCCAUUCAUCGAACAUUUGGUUGGCUAGUUCCAUCUUCCAAGUUGCCCAAGCAUCCAAUGAUGAAUAUUUGUGAUAUUCGGUUCAUCGUCAUCCACCACAUUAGUAGGUAAUCCUUCUCCCACCUCCGCUUCAAUAGGAUCAAUACUCAUAUGAGUUCGAAUAAAAUUAUGGAGCAAACAACAUGCAAUAAUAAUUCUAUUGUGCACCCUUACAGGAUAAAACGAUGGACUCCUAAGUAUUCCCCAUCUAAGUUUUAAUAAGCCAAAGCAUCUUUCAAUGACAUUACGUGCUGAGGCAUGUUUCAUAUUAAAAACUCUUGCGGAGAACUUGGCUGAUAACCCUGACGCCACUCGUUCAGAUGAUAUCGCUGUCCUCUAAAUGGUGCAAGAAAUCCCUCACAAUUUGUGUAUCCAGUAUCAACUAGAUAAUAACAACCUAUAAAAUAAAUUGGCUAAAAAAUGAUUAAUUCAGCAAACAAAGUUUGAUCUUAAUGAGUAAUUCAAAUUCCUCUAAGUAUACACUGUACCAUGAGGAACUUUAAGUCCAUGUCUUCUACUGAUGGCAUCUCGGAGCACCCGUCCAUCGGCAACUGAACCUUCCCAACCAGGAAGAACAUAAACAAAUUGCAUAUCAGGUGUACAAACACCUAGCAUAUUUGUUGCUAUGUCACCUUUUCGGGUUCGAUAUCUAGGUUUAUCAGCUGUUGGCACCCUAAUCUUUAUGUGGGUUCCAUCAAGAGCACCUAAGCAAUUCUAUAUCACAUGAUAUAAAACCUUGUGUUAGAAUACUAAUUUAAAUCUAAGUCAACUAAAUGUUGUACAAGCUAUAUCUAAAACUCAGUCUACUACCUUAAACCAUUUCCACCUUGUGUCAGAAGAGUCGGCUGUAAUUGGCUCCGGCUUUUUAAAUAAGACAUCUUGUAAGCGCAUGACAGCAUCUAAAACACUAUGAAAUGCUCUGCUUAAGUUUCCCCGGACCUUCUAAAGUGAUGCUUGAUAACUCGAUUUUUCAGGUGAUGGGAGAUGAUAUGUAAAAACAUUGCUACUUGCUCAUCAACAAGCAUGAACCUUGACGACUUCAAUCCCCCUAUCGAUUCUAACAUCUCACAUAAUUUACAAAAGGCAGUUCUAUUCAUCCUAACUUGUUCAAUACAAGUCUCGUCACUAGCAUAUACAAGCCUUUUCACAUAAUCUCGUUUUGCAUAAAAAUCUAAGGUGUAGGACCUAAUCCUUGGUUGAUAAGUCUGUAGGCUAAGGCUGGCACCCAUUCUAAACAAGAACCAAAUCGCAAUUCUACAGAUUUCCAACCAUAAUGUCAAAGCAAGACCAAUUCUUUUACGCCUCACACUUUGUGCAAUUAAAGGCAGACGAGCCAUUACUGCAACAUAUUAAAAUUAUAACACACACUAUCAAUGAAUUGAAGUUGCAAUUACACAUUAUAAAAUAAAAAUAAACAAUACAAAUUUAGAACACACGAAGCAAAAUAGUUGAUACUAAAUGAUAUCGUUGCAACUUUAAUUUCAUUUCUUUAUGAAUCACCCAAACAAUAAAGAAAUUAUAAAGCAUGUAUAAUUGACCUAAAAUUAAUUGUUGGUGUAUGUAUAAUUGACCUAAAAUUACUUGUUGGUUUAAUGUUAUUGUCCCUAAAAAACAUUGUUUGUGUAUGUAUAAUUGUUGGUUUAAUGUUAUUUACCCUAAAAAACAUUGUUGGUGUAUGUAUAAUUGUUGGUUUAAUGUUAUUUACCCUAAAAAACAUUGUUGGUGUAUGUAUAAUCUUUUAAUUUUACGUAUAUUUUAGAUAUAUAUGAUAAUUUUUAUUAAUUAAUAUAAAAAUAUAAUUCUCUCCACAAAAAAUUAUAUCAACAUUAAUUCUUAACAAACAGGUUUCAUGUUUAUUAUUAAUUUCAAAUUAUUAACAUUAAAGAUAAAAAUUAUAAUAAUUAUAUCAACAUUAAUACUUAACAAACAGGUUUCUUGUUUAUUAUUAAUUUCAAAUUAUUAAUAUUAAAGAUAAAAAUUAUAAUAAUUACAAUUAUAUUUAUGUUAUUAAUAAUGUUCUCAUUAUUAGUAUCAUAAUAUUUAUAAUUUAAUUAAACAUCGAAUUUAUAAUAAAUUACCUGUACUAUUUUAAAUAAUAACAACCUUUGCCGCAUGAAGAAUUUUUUUUGAUAGAUUAGGUCACAAGCCCCAUUUUUGGUUUAAUUAUUCUUUCGUCUCUAUAUUUUUUACACAUUUAAAAUUUAAUUUAUUUAUUUAUAAUUUUAAAAAUUUAAUCCUUUUACUUUGUUAAAUUGGAUUAAGUGACAAUUUUAACUUAAAAUUGCUCUCAUGACAAAUAUUAUACAAGUAAUAAACUAGGUAAGCAAAUCUUAAGAUUGUUAAAUAUGAAUAAAAAUAAUAAUCGGAUGGAGUAUUUAUUUUUUAAACUCGUUAAAUUAUUUGACUAAAAAUAGUAAUCGAUAAAUAAUUUAAAUACCAAUGUAAAAAAAAUUAGAGACAAAAGUAAACGAAAUUAAUAUGGUUUGAGCGAUAGUGACGUAAACCAUAAUAAAAAGAGAGCAAUUAAUCACAUUAAAUUAGCUUACUUUGGUCGGUGAAAUGUCAUAUAAAGAAAGAUAUAAUUAUAAUUUAGCUUUGGUAAAUAGAUUACAAACUUUCACCCUAAAACAUCAUGAAGGGCAUGAAAAGUGAUGCUUGAAAGGUAAGGUAUUUUAAUGAAAUUAAUUACUUGCUUUUACAAGUUUUUUCAAUAACAUCAGCAUUUUUUUGAAAGCAAAUGAGGAAAGCCUAUUUUGAAUGCUAUUUGAAACUGAAAGUAAUUACUUGCUUGUUUUAAUGGCUGACUUUUUCCUUUGUAUUAUCAUGGCCUAUGUUCAAAACACAUGCUCUUCAAAUCCUAUACUCGUCCCAAUCAAGAACAAAUCAAAAUUUUCCAGCAGAGAAGGUCCAAAAGAACUAAAAUAACAAAUUCUAUUGACUAACAAAUCAAGAACAAGGUCCAGCAGACUAAAAUAACAUUUCAUCUUCCACAACAGUUUCAUCUUAUACUCACUAACAAACUAAAAUAACAUUUUCCAGCAGACUAUCAAAACAAUGUCCAGAACAAACCAACAAAAUCUUGUGAUAUUACUAGUAGAAAAUACAUAAUUAUGUUUAAUAAAUGAUCCAAACACAAUGUACUUUGAUAAGUUCAAAAACCAACAAUAGAACUUAAUGACUGUAACAAGUUGGUAAAAGGUAGUUGUAGGGAAUUUUGCAAAAAUAUUAUUGCUUUUUAAAAAGUUCCGAUGAAACAUUAGAAGUUUGACUAUAGAAUUCAGAACUUUGGACCUACAAUUAAACAUAAACAUAUAGAUAGCUUGGUUAGAAGAAAAAAAUCAUAUUACACUGAUUGGAAAAUCCAACUCAUCAUUGCUUUUCUGUUUAUCAAAGGCUAAAAAUAUCAAAUUUUAUUCGUAAUUUACAACAAAGUAGUUAUAUACAUAUGACUCAAAUUCAUAUCUUGCCCAAAUUCAUAGAUUAAAACACAAAAAGAAAAUAGAAAUUCUUACUCGUAUCAAACAUCCUAUUCAAUCAAUAACAAGCUGUCAAAUUCCAAAAUGUUUAAUAUCUUAAAAAAAUCAUAUUUCUGUUCAUCCUAAUUAACUAUUUAGAAAAACUGGAAUACAUGAAAGACCUCUAAGUACCAGUAUCAGUAUCUUCACCCCUAAACCCCAAAGCCAGACUACACAAAUUGCAUCUAACAGCUUCUAGUUUCACUGAUCUGCACUCAGCAUGAAAUUCAAUAUUCUUAACAUUAUAAAUUGUUUUGAACAUUCGUUAUCAUCUAACAUUUUCAUCUUACCUAUUUUUGCUACUUUCAGAGGACCAAAUUACAACAGAACAAACAAACAAAAGAACUCGAACUGCAGAAAUCUUACCUAUUUUUGCUACUUUCAGAGGACCAAAAGAACUCAAUGAUCUUACCUAUUUUUGCUACUCAGUUCAGGCACUUAAACAAACAAACAUUGGAAGAAAUCUCAUUCGCGGUUUUGGAGAUCAGAAAAGGACUCGAAAAUUACAACAGAACAAACAGAAAUCGAAGAUUAGCAGAGAAGAGAGAACAACUUCGAACGGCAUGCAUUUCUUAAGCCUAACCAACAACAGAAAACACAUUUCAAUUCAACAUGCAAUACAAACAGAAUAAAAUUGGCUAAAACUAACCUAUUAGAAAAUCGGGGCACAAUGAAGAAGAACCUGAAAAAAGCAAAAGGGGAAACCGAUUAGAUAAAAACAAUAGAUCAUAUUUACCUCGAAAGUAUUGGUUUUCAUCUACAAUAGCAAAGGAUAUUAAUCUAUCGGGAAACAUAGACUAACCGAUGACGCAAAUCGGCAGAAACUGUGAGCAAAUCGGCCGAAAUAGAAAAGAAAAUAAUCGGGGGAGCAAAUCGGCAGAAAAGGGAAGAAAAUAAUACUGGGAAAAAGCAAUGAAACAAGGAAGCAAUUCGGAUGAAGGUGGGAAACGGAAGAGAAACAGAGGGGAUUGAUUAGGGGUAAAAGAGGGAAGGUUUAGGGUAGGGUCAUCUAAUCUGGGAAGAAGGGGGGGAAUAGAAAUCGGUGCUUUUCACCGAUUAGGGAAGUAAGGGGAUACACGCGUAUUAGCAAUACGCUCAACCAAACGGCGUCUUAGAUUGGUAUUAGGUGGGCCCCACCGAUUAGGGGUGUAUUGGCUUAGCCAAUACACCAAACCAAACAAGCUCUUAGUGUUUAUACCAUGCGAAUAUUAUGAAUUUAGUCCUUUUUCUUUAAAAUUUAUUAUGACUAAAAUAUAUAAAUUCUAUACUAUAAAAAAUCCAAAUUAAUUAAAUUUUAAUUAUACUUUUAUUAAAUUUAAUUAUUUGAAAUAAUUUAAUUCAAACGUUAUAUAAUUUAACCCAAAAUUAUUUGCUACAACUUUAUUGGGAAGUCCUUUAAUUUUUAUAUAAAUGAUACAAAUUUACCAACAUCAAUACAUAUCCAAAUAUGUCUCAAUCCCUAUCAAACACUUAUGUUUCUAUUUAAAAAUAUCCAUUUGAGAUUCAAACCUCUAUUGAAUACAAUAAUUUAUUUUAUAGACCAUUCCCGUCACAUUAUUCAUGAUUCAUUUCUAAUUUAAACAUUAAAUCUUAAACCCCAAACCUAAACCUCAAACCUAAUCUAAUUCAUGGUCUAAGGUUCGAGAUUUAAAGUUUAGUGUUUGAGAUUCAGGAUUCGGAGUUUAGAUUCGUAUUCAGGUUCGGGGUUCGGAGUAAAAGAAAUUACUAAAAUUAUGUAUCAAUGAUAUGAAAAAAAUUGUUGAAAUAUCAUUAAAUGAUUAGAAAGGAAUCGUGGAUGAUACGGUAGAAAGAGUUUAUAAAAUAAUUUUUCAUUCUUUAUAUUAAGCUCAAAAUCCGUUCUGAUGAGAGCAGUAGGAUUAGUUUUAAUAAAAUUAAAUGUUAAAAUUAAAAAAAAUUAAUGAUUCAAUUGAUUCAACCUUUUAUGGUUUUUAUAUAUUUUUAUAUUUUUAUUUAUUAUUAAAUUAAUAAUUAAUAAUCUGAUAAAUUGGAUGAGGAUAAAUAUAAAACUAGUGUUGAACCAAUGAUGAAAAGUGGUGGAUGAGGAUUGAGGGUUCACUAUCAUGAAUUUAUUUAUUAUUGUCUUCCACCAAUUAAUAACUGAUCAUUAAUGGAAUAUCUGUGGAGCCUACUUUCCACCCAACAAAAUAUCUGGUAAGUUUUGUGGUCAGAAUUUUUACAAAGAUUCUUUUACCAUACUUUUGUCUCUUUCAUUAUUUUAUCUCUACAUUGGGCUUCAACUUUUCAUUUUAUUCAAUUUAGUCCUUAAUUUUUUCUUGAAAAUUCUAAAGUUCAUGCUCCAAUGUCUCAAUAUGAUAACAAUUGUUAAUUUUAGAGACUAACUUGGAUAAUAAUAAAAAAUCAAAUCCUAAUGUUGAAAUAGUUGUCUUAUUCAGCCCUAAUGUGGAAAUAAUUAAUAAGUUCACGAUCUAACUUAAACUAAAAAAAUUUAGCGAAUCUAGAAACUGUUUUAGUGGGGUUAAAAUUAAGUUAUAAAAUUUUAUGAGGUUAAAAUAUAAUUUAUUAUGUAUUAAUUUAUAAUUUUAUGAUUUUAAAAAAAUUAAACAUAAAGGGACAAAAUGCAAUUUUUCUGUAUUUAUAUUUACUUAAAAAUAUUAUAAUUUAUAUAAGGAUUAAAAUGUAGUUUUUUUUUUAAUUUUUAAGGAACUAAAGUUCUUGCUUGCCUCACCUCACAUUCGCCCUUAAAAUGAAAUCGAAGAGAGACUGAGGGUGGGUUUGGAUGGGCGAUGCGUUUACCUGUGGUUCGUGUAACAACAGUGGUGGCAGUGAGAUUAGAUGUUAUAGUAACACUAUAGCAUGAGACAAUAAGUAAGCUAAACGCACCGUACCACAUCUCAUCGCUCAUCCAAACCCACAUUGAACCAAAAUUUUCACUAUUCAAGGAUUAAGUUUCUUUUAAAAUGAGAGAAAAGAAAAAGAACAUUGAUACAUAACAUUUAAAUAAAUAUAUAUAAUAUCUAAUUUUAAUUAAUAUACAACAGCACGACUAGCGCAUUUCAAACCCAAGUCAUACUUAGGGUGGUGAACACUCUGGUCAUCUGCCCAACACACGGGGUACAUAAUUCAAAUUAUUUUAAUUGAGUAUUUGAAAUAUUAUUAUCGUAUCAAUCGAGUAUUUUCAUCAGUCUAAACAUUAAAUUAGACAUUAAAUGUCAGCUUAAAUUUGAUAUCGAGAAUAUUUAAAGCAAAUGGAUCAAAAUGUAAAUAUGUAUGUGAACAAUUUAGAUUUGACGUGUUAAAAAAAAAUCCUCCCAACGUAACAUUUUUUUCGUUACACGUCAGAUUCAAAAUGUUCAUACUAUAUACAUUUUUACAAAUUGAUCCACUAUUAUAAAUAUGCUCUACAUCAUAUUAGUGCUAAUAUUUAAUGUCAAAUCGAAUGAUUAAACUAACAAAAUGAUAUAAUCGAUACAAUACUAUAUUUUCAGAACUCAAUUAAAAUAUUUUGAAGGUUGAUAUUAAUUUAGAAUCUGGGUGAUAGUUUAGAACUAUUGAUGCAAUUAACCCAAAAAAUAUUGGGUAUUGCCGUAAAGAAACUAGAAUAGCAGUCACGGAGUUAUUGUUUUUUGGAGGGAUAAAUGCAAGCUUUAGUCCCUGGAUUUAGCAAAUUUUCACACCUUGGUUUAUUCAUAUCAAUUCUAAAACUUGGCAGCUUUUUUCAAUUUGUUCUCUGAACUUGGAUUCUGUUAAGGUACGAUGAUGUGGCACUAUGAGAUUGCGACACACCAUCACCAGGAAUUUUAAAGGAAUUAAUUUUUUUUUUGAAACUGUUUUAACAUAAUCCAAAUUUAGGGAUCAAAUUGAAAAAAUUUUCUCGGGACAAAAGGAAAGGACCAAAUUAAAGAAAACUGACAAAUUCAGGGACUAAAUAUUAUUUUACCCCUUCCUUCAACUACUCCGAACCACCCUUGAUAAAUCCCACUACUGUCUUCAACCUCUCUUCCUUUUAACUCCCUUUUCUUCACUUGUCGUCCAAUCAAAAUCCGAUAAAGUGCUACGUACGUUAUUAAAUCGUCUCAUUUGCAGAAGCGAAGGAGCUGAUCUUUCAUCAUCAUCAUCAUCUUCUUCUUCAACCGCAGAAACUUCAUAAUCAUCAAUUAACGUAUGAUGAUUAUUAUGGCAAAGUUUUAUCCUUUUUAAAACUUUGCUUUUGAUUUGCUCUGCAAAUGCUUGUGAAGGCCUUGAAGAAGAAGAAGAAGAAGAACGUUGUUUGAGUUGCUUCAAGCUACGUAUUUUUUUCUUCUUUAUAAUUUGACCCAUGCAUGAAACUUUCGGUGACACAGGUUCACGUAAUUCGAAACUCGCAUUCCUGGGUAUUAAAGGUACCGUAUGACCGGAAAUUCGUUUACCGCCGGUGAUAACCGGUGGGCUUAACCGGAAUGUGAGAAUGAUUUUGCUCCUGUGUUUCACCGGUUUCACCAUUGGGAUUGUAAAUCGUCACCGUCGGAAUAUGAGUAGGAAACAAGGGUUUGUUGAUCUAAGAAAAAUGAAAUGAUUUUAUGGCUUUGAACAUAGCUUCAUUGCCGGCCAUAACUUCGCCAUAUUUCUUGAUUGGCCGUCACUGUCGGUCGGCCGUUCAUUUGAUAUUGUAUUUUCAUGUAUUACACUUGUAGGGUGGAGUUAAUUUUAGAUAGAUUUAAGUUAAAUUGGAUUUGUUUUUGUUUUUAAUUUUGUUUAAUUUUAGAUAGUCUUAACUUAAAUCAGAUUCAUUUUUCGAGAACUUCAUUAAUAAGCAAAACAAAAAUUCAGAAUUAGGUAUCUUCAAGAAGAAGAAAAAGUUCCAAAGACAAGAUAAAUAUUAAAAAGAAGACUUUAAUAGUAGACACAAUCGAAUCACGAAACAAACUCAGACAAAUUACAAGGACAUGAGAAGCUUGCAAAGUUGACAACUUAAAUUUUCCAGACAAAAUCUUUCCACCUUUGCCAUUUGUGCCAAGGCUUCAUCCGUAAUUGAAUCUAUAUUAGUUUUAAAAUUCAUGAUGAUUCUAGUUUGUCAUUUUAAAAUUCCGAGUUUUCAAGUUGAUUCAUUAUUGUUAUACGUCGGUUGAGACAGGUACCAGCUCCAUUUUGUACUGUUCAGCUGGUUACUCAUAACCGACAACGUCAACUUGUUGAACUCUCCAUAAGACCAUCCUCUUUUAGCAGUUGACUUGCAUCCUUUAAAAAGAGAUCAUCUAGGAUCACCAUCUUUAUUGCCUUAAACCCUUUACCUACAUACUCAACACCCUAUUGCCUUGUCUCCCUCCUCCUUUUAACUCUACGUCUCCUCCUUUAUCUCCCCUAAUUGAACUCCAAUGUCAACACUUAUAGAUAAUUUCGAAUGUUGGCCACUUGUUCAUAUAAUGUGAUUCUUAUGUCAAAUUCCAAUCAUUUCGACGAAAUUCGAGUUCAAAUUCAUAAUAAAAGGAGAGUUUAUUUAUUUUUCAUUCAUCAUCGAAUCAAAUCAAAAUAAUCAAGUCUAUCUUUAUUAACGAGAUUGAUAUAACAAUAAAAUAUGCUUAAAAUUAACGUUGAAAAUUAUAAGUAAAUUCCCGUGCUUACAACAUGCGAAUAUGCUUUAGAAAAUGUCAAUUUUAUGAGCUAACUACUACCACAAAAGAACAAUUUAACCUUACAAAAAUGAAAAAAAAAAGUUCAAGAAGUUAUAAAAUUACAUGCUUUUUUCCAAUAUAUCUUUUUACUAAGAGAUUCACCAUAUGUUGUUCACUGUUUCGGCUAACAAAGGAAAAGUAUAUGCCACAUCACCUGCAAACUCAAGAAAAUGCCAAGUCAACCAUCAUUCAUUUAUAUCAUUACAUUACAUGCCGAUACAUCUCUUCAUGGGCCGCAUCAUCUUUGAAAUAUGAGAAUUCGGACAAAAUUACAGGAAAACGAGCUUAGACAAAAAAAAAAAUCAAAUCGUUUAAAAUAUAAGCCAAGCUUGGGUUGAAACAUUCAAGACCCAAGCUUAGCUCAACCCAGCCCAUUUUAUAUUUAUAUAUUAUGUAAUUUAAAUCAGAUAAAAUUAAAUAUAUCAUAAUACAAUACCAUAUAAACAUUAAAAAAUAUGUUUUUUUUUUAAUUAUCAGUGGACAUAAAACAAACAUAUUUCAAGCCAAAUUGGGCUUGGCAAAAUAUUAAGUUCAUAUCUCAGGUCGGACUGAACUUGGACAAACAUAAAAUGUACUAAUAUCAUAUAUAGUCCAGCCUAUGAACAAUUUUACAGGCUGACACCUAUAUGAAUACAAUGCUCAAGAAAAUAAAAAUCUUCUCACCAUUUUCACCCAAGACUGUUGCAUAAAUACCCAGACUAUGUUCGGAGGUGUGAUUGAUUCAAUAUUUGCGUAAUAAAGAAAAAUGGCUCGAAGGUGACCCUCUCCCUGAGAUUUUUAAAAUCUUUUGGAAAUUCAAAGAGAAGCCUAAUGGAAACCGAUAAAAUGGAAGAGUCGUUACUGCAAUUCUAAAACAAACUGCAACAAAUUUACGAGUUAAAGAUGAAACAAACCUUGGUUUUCUCGAGCUUUUCAAAAACGGCGUGCCUUAUCAUUAACUCCUGUCAUGUUUUCCAUCUUUAGCUGCCCGAUCAUCCUUGUUGCUUGGAGUGUACUGACCAGUUGAGGAUGGUGAAUACCCUGGAGCACUAGGGGAGUACCCAGCACUUGGACUGUAUGGAAGAUUGGAAAUAUGAAAACACGAAAAUAGAACAAUUUUUUUAGAUUCAACAUUUGAGUCUCUGCUUACCUGUACUGUGGCGAACUUGGGCUGUAGUCAGGAUUGCCUCCAGAAUUAUAUGGGCUGGUUUCAUACAUACAAAAUAGAUAACAGAUUAAAAGUCGUUUAUAACAAAUUCGGUAUGUAAGUACUGUAAGUGGAAGUUUUAAGAUGAAAAGUUACCUGCUAGGACUGUAGGUUGGGUUUGAAGGGGAAUAAGAUGGAGAAGUAGGCGAAUGAGAUGGCGACGUCGGGCUGUAAUACAAAAAAUAUAUGAUUGAAACGAAACCGAAGUUACACAGCAUGAGUAUAAAUUAACUGAAACCGAGAAGAGGGUACAGACAACAAUAGCAGCGCAGUCACACAAUCCAAGAGUUCUAAGCAACAAACAGAUAAGUGAUUUAGUCUACCAUGGUUUACCUAUAAUUCGGUGAUGUUGGACUGUAAGGACUGGAAGGAGACAACCUUGGACUGCUUGGUGAGUAUGCUAGAGAUGGACUGUACUUGGCUGAUUGCGGAUUGUAACUUGGAGAGGUAGGGCUAUAGGUAGGUGACGUGGGACCGUAACUUGGUGAGGUCGGACUGUACCCAGGAGAAGUGGGGCUAUAUGCUGGGGAAGUAGGGCUGUAUGAUGGAGAUGUAGGGCUAUAGGAGGGUGAGGUUGGGCUGUAAGAAGGAGAUGUCGGACUGUAUGAUGGCGAUGUUGGGCUGUAUGAUGGAGACGUGGGGCUGUAUGCAGGUGAAGUUGGGCUAUAUGCCGGUGAAGUAGGGCUGUAGCUUGGUGAAGUUGGACUAUAACUUGGUGAAGUAGGACUGUAACUUGGAGACGUAGGGCUGUAGCUUGGAGACGUAGGGCUGUAGCUUGGAGAGGUAGGGCUAUAGCUCGGUGAGGUUGGAGAAUAAGAGGGACUUGUAGGUGAGUAGGCUGGACUUGUUGGGCUGUAACCUGGUGAACUAGGACUGUAAGUAGGUGAUGUGGGGCUGUAACCAGGCGAGGUAGGACUGUAGCCAGGAGAUGUAGGGCUGUAACCAGGCGAGGUAGGACUGUAGCCAGGAGAUGAAGGACUGUAGCCAGGAGAUGAUGGGCUGUAACCAGGGGAUGACGUGGGAGAGAAUGCCAUCCCACCAACAUAAGGUGAGAACUGAGCAUCCGAAAUGGGAGAGAGACGGAGAUUUGGGCUCAGCAAGUAACUUGGAGACAUCAUGCCUUCAUGAUAUGGAGUUCCUGAUACUGGAGAUCGA
rnacentral:lncRNA from 1 species